AACUUGAAAAGUGUAAAAAGAGUGGGUAAUGAGUUUUUGGGAAUAGAAGAAAGCAGUGAGGAUGGCCCAUCUUCAUCUUCAUCGUCACCAUCAGUUUUUGCCUUCCCCAAAUUGAAAUCACUCGAAAUUCACGGAAUGGAAGAAUUGGAAGAGUGGAAUUACAGGAUUACGAUGAAGGAAAACAUCUCCAUCAUGCCCCGUCUUUCUUUCUUGGAAGUUAGUUCUUGCAACAAAUUAAAGGCGCUGCCGGAUUACCUUCUUCAAACGACGGCACUGCAGGAACUGAGUAUUUGUUCUUGUGAUCUUCUAGAAGAACUGCCCAUUCUAGAAGAUCGCAGGACAACAGACAUACCACGUCUUACUUCUUUGUGGAUUUCUGAUUGCCCCAAUUUAAAGGUGCUGCCGGAUUACCUUCUUCAAACACUGCAGCUAUUGAUAAUUUUGGGCUGUGACCUUCUAGAAGAACAUUAUAGAGAGGGGAAAGGAGAAGACUUGCAGAAGAUAUCUCACAUUCCCCACAUCAAGUGGUCACCGUAAGAUAUCACUCGCCGGUAAUUUCUCCUCCUCCUCUGAUUUACUUCGUUGUUGCUUGCAAUGAAAUUAAUAAAAAUAAUUAUAUUUUAAAUUAAAAUUCUAUAUAUUGCCAAUGUCUGACAAGAAUAUAUAAUAUUUUUCUAAUAUUUUGAUUUGCAUAUUGAAUUUUGUUUACUUUAACCAUUAAUUUAAUGGGUCACUUUAUGAUGCUGUUAUAAAAAUUAUAGAAUCAAUCAUGGUAUAUAUAUUUUAAUUUAAGUUAUUUAAAAUUUAAACUUCCUAGUUAUCAAAUUUAAACUUCCUUAACAUCAUGCAAAAAUAAUCAUCAUGUCUUUUAGCCGAAGGAUUGCUAAAAUGUUCUGCUGGUAAUUCACUUGCUUUAUUUUAUAGAAUUUCAUUUCCAUCUUCUUCUAUUGAUAUCUUGUUGUGAAUAAACAAGAACAGAGAAGUAAAUAAUUGAACCACAGAGAAGUAAAGAUAUAUGAAAGUUCGCUAUUGUGAUGGUGUUAAAGCAAGCUCAAGCUCAAGCAUUGCAUUUUUAUUUUAUUUUAUUUUUAGAAUUUUCAUUUCCACCUGCACUGCAUUUUCAUUUCAUUUUUAGGUUGACUUUGAAGACUCUAUGGAGAACAUUAGGGUAACCAAGGAUUAUCACUAUGGUUAUUGUGCAACGUUUGGUUGCUGGACUUUGAAGAAGGAAGCGAUGGCCGGGUCCGCUCUGUUUCAAUUGAGGAUGGACAGCUGCCUGAAAGACAUGAUGAUUAUUUUUGCAUGAUGUUAAGGUGCUAAGAUCAUCAUUUAUAUCUUGUUUCAUUCUUGGAAUCAUUUAUCCUAUAUAAACAUAUUGAAUUGUGCUAAUAUUAUCAUAUGCUUCAAUGGAGGCAGGAAUUUGGUGUUGACACUACUAUGCAGGUAGCCACACUUCAUAGUUGGCACAAAUUUGCGUUGUCAGAAUAUCCUUUAAUAUUCAUUGUGUUUCUUUGCGUUAUCAGGUUAUCAUCUCCAAGGGUUUGAAAGAGUCUUUGCAGUAAAGGCAGUUGUCACCAGCUCGUGCAAUUGCACAGUCAUUCAGAGUACUUCAAUAUUGGGUUUUCAAGUUUUGUAUGUUUAGUCGAUUAAAAUGUUUAGUCACUCAUUCUUAAUCCUUUUUUCUGAUUUUCAAGUUCUUUAGGGCCAUAAACAGUUUUUCAAACUCAUUAUUAUUUUUUAGGUUGAUUUCCUACUCGUGGAGAACAUUGGCAAGUCCAAGGAUUAGGCUGGCGAUGGAACUACUACCUCUGUUGUUAUUGUGCAAGGUUUGAUCGCUGGACCUUGAACAAGAAUGCCUUACACACAUUCUGUAAUUGAAGCGUUCUCUAAAGCAAAAGAGCAGUAGAAGGAAUAGUGAUGGCCGGAUCUGCUCUUUCUUAAUUGAAGAUGUCUGUGAUGUUGAGGAGCUUAAAGCAGUUAAUGCUCUUUGAAAAUUGUUAUUACAGAUGAAUUGAUUCCUGAAGACGAGUAUCUAAUGAUUGUUAAGGCGUAUUUUCAUGAACUUCCUUUCUUAACAAAUGUUUCAAUGCUGGCUGUAGUAACAAUUUCAUAUCUUGCAUCUCCCGGGUGCAUCAUGUUCACGGGUUUGAAAAAGCAUUUGUGGUAAUGCUUCAAAGCUUGUACAAUGUCUCCCAAUGCUAAUAUCAUAUUUUGUAUGGCAAUUAAAAUUUAGCUAUACAAUCUUAAUAUGCAAUAAAUCAUUGUAUACAAAGUUUUCUAUUGAUUAUAUGGUGACUGAAAUUAGAUUGGAGAAGAAUAAAAAGAUACUGUUAAAAGGUUAUUUAAUUAGCGCCCUCUGAAUUUCUUGGAGUUAAUGUAGUCAAUUGCCCAAUUUUGCUGCCUGUGGAAGAUACACAGUAUGGAGUCCUCAUCAAACUCUGAGACACCUAAUAAAUAGUAGGAGGGGUUGGUAUUCGCCUGGUGUUAAUUUCCUGGCAAGUAUAGUUCACAGAUAAAGGGGUUCUUUUCUUGAUGUCUAAAUACCGUAUGUGAUACAACAUCGUGUAUUCCAAUUUUUCUCCAGUUAAAUUUUAAUAAGUUAGGAAAGUUAAUUUUGUUUUAGCAAUGAAUUGUUUUCUUAAUAAUAAUUGCCAUGUUCCUCUGAAGUCUUAUUAAUGCCAAACCAACAACUACUAGGUUCAUCUCUCGUUCACUUCCUCAGGGAUUCUCGAGGGCAUUCUUUGGCAGGUAGUCUUUCUUGUUGAGCUCCUGGAAUUACUUUUAAUUUAUCAUCUGUUGGGUUUUGCUUUUUGAUUGCUUUGUGAUUUGUGUUUUUAUCGCUUUGUCGCUCAUUAAUCUUGGCUGUUUUGAAUCUGUGUUGGAUUUAGACGUUUGGAGUUGAAAACAGUUAAAGCUUAGACUAGUAGAAGAGAUUUAUACAUUCAUUUAUCUUGGACAAAGUUUUUGGGGGAAAAGAAAAAUUAUAAGUAUACACUUUCCAAUGGUUCGGUGAUGUUUGAUUGGUUUAAAGAUGUUGGAUCUCUCAUCAGAUUUCUUAUGUAUCGACUGCUGUUGCCACAGGAUGCUCGCAGAUCCUGCUUUUUUGUAUAAACUUCUACCAGAGCAGGCUGCCACAAUUGGUUGCACUGUUUUGUGGGAGUUGGAGAAUCACAAGGAGAGGUGUUUUUUCUCUCAUAACAAAGGAACUCUCCCCUUCCUUUUUAUUCUCAUUUUAUAUAUUAAGCUAAUAAAUGUUUGUUUCUGUUGUGAUGGGAUAAAGCAAGAAUGGGAUCUUUGCCCUAAUAAAUGUGCUCACAGUAACAGCAUGUAAUGCUUUUGUUGUUUGGUCGCUUGCUCCUUGUCAUUCUUAUGGAAACACCUUCCGGUUUGACUUGCAAAUUACAUUACAAAAGCUCCCAAACAAUAUAUUUGAACGGCGGUACCCAUUUCGAGAAUUUGACUUGCAAAAGAGAAUCCACUCCCUUUUUUACAAGGCUGCAGAGUUGUGUAUGGUGGGAUUAAGUGCAGGAGAAGUGCAAGGUUCUUUGUCAAACUAUCUUGCUGGUAAAAAGGACAGGUAAACAUGGUUGCAAAACUUCCUUUUCAUUCCUCGUUCACUUAUUCGUUAUAAAUAAAGAAAACUUAGAAGAUUGUUCUGUUUACUGUCUAAGCCAGUUUAACAUUUAUUAAAUUACCCUUGUAAAAGAGAAUCCACUCCCUUUAAUGUCUGACAGGUUAUCUGUGACAAACAUGAGAUAUCAGCUAUUGUGUGGAUUUGAUAGAGCGGUCAUCAACCAUUUUGAUGUUAUUGGAGUAGUACUGUUCUUAAGCACUGCUUUGAGGUCUCUCCCUCUAUCUCUUUUACGCAUUUGUUUAUUGAUCUACAUCUCUAUAUACAUUGAUAGACUAAUCUGGUCGUACCAAAUUACCCUUGUUUUAAUGUUUUGUUUGUUAAACUUUGACUGGGGAAUCUGUUUAUUUGUCUGAUAUGAUGUUAGUGUGGUUUCUAUUGAAGUGUGUAGAUCUAUCACCGAGUAUUAUUUCAAUUUUUCUUUGCUUAAUCAACUUGCAUCCUUUCCAAGUCCAGAUCCUUAACAAUAGCGAGACUUCGCUACGGAAGUACAAUUUCUCUAGUUUUACAGUUAAAUACGUAAGGAUGGUUUUAAAUUAACUGAACUCUGAGGUAGUUUUCUAAGGAAAUACAAGCGGUGAAUAUGGUUCCAAGUUUUAAGUGCCUUAAUUAACCCAUUUGUUCAGCCCUGUGCGUAAACAAUCAGUAAUCGCUGUCCAAAUUCUUCUUUACUGCCUAUAUGUGUUGGACUUUGUCUAUUGUUCAACUUCUCAAAUGGAUUCCAUGCAGGGUUCUUAAUGUCCAAUUAGGAGAAAGAUCAAGGCUUGCUUGGCAAGGAGUGGAAGUGGAUCCGCUACUUCAGUCAGAUGACCUUUUCAAGAAGGCUUACAACAGGCCAUCUCAGGAUGUCAAUGGCUCAACUCAAAAGUCCCCAAGGUGGUUGAUAUCAAAGAAUGCCAUUGUCUCUGGGCUUCGGCUCCUUGGCAUCAAACAAGGGAAUGUCGACUCUGUUGAAAUGGAAGCAAGGGCUCCUAAAGUGCGAAGAAAGAGGAUAGCCCGGAAGAAGGUGACCGCAUAAAUUUCUUGGGAGUUAAUCCUAGUCAAUAGCCCAAUUUUGCUGCCUGUCGAAGAGAUACAACACGGAAAUCCUCAUCAAACUCUUUGAGACAUCUAAGAACUUGUAGGGAGGUGGUGGUAUUCACCUUGUUUCCUGGCAAGAAAUUUAUGGAACUUAUCUUCUAAAAACCAGCCAUGGCUUCAAAUUCAAUCACCUCAACACUCCAAUAUUGGCUUGUAAACCACCCACAAAUCCUCAACUUCACAUGGACACAAAACCAAACCCCAGCUUCCUCCCCACACUUCCUCAUUCUCUCCAUCCUCACUUACCUCUCCCUCACAUUCAUCCUCUACCACACAUCAACAUCAACAUCACCACCAUCAUCACCUUUCAUUGGACCCCACAUCCUCAAGCCCAUCACAGCCGUCCAUAACCUCACCCUCCUCCUCCUCUCCCUCAUCAUGGCCGUUAGUUGCACUCUCUCCAUCAUCGUCCAUUUGCCCCACCUCCAUUACACCCUCUGUUUCCCCCCCACCAUUUCUCCGUCUGGCCCCCUCUUCUUCUACGCUUACCUCUUCUACCUCUCCAAAAUACUCGAAUUCGUAGACACCCUUUUGAUCAUUUUGUCAAACUCCGUCCAACGGCUCACGUUCCUCCACGUCUAACACCAUGCAACCGUCGUCGUAAUGUGCUACCUUUGGUUACAGACGAAGCAGUCUUUGUUUCCUAUUUCACUUGUGACCAAUGCAAGUGUGCAUGUGAUCAUGUACGGGUACUAUCUAUUGUGUGUGAUGGGGUUGAGGCCAAAGUGGAAGAGAUUGGUCACUGAUUGUCAGAUUGUUCAGUUUGUGUUUAGUUUUGUUGUUUCGGUUUUGAUGCUGUAUUAUCAUUUUACGGGAUUUGGUUGCUCUGGGAUUUUGGGUUGGUGCUUCAAUGCUGUGUUUAAUGCUUCUCUUUUGACACUUUUUGUUAAUUUUCAUUCCAAGAGCUACGCUAAAAAAAAGCAGGGAUGAUCAGAACAAAUAGUUUUUGUGAUUGUUUUGUGCGUGCGUGUGUGUGUGUGAUUUUUUUUUUCAAGUUUGAUUUUGUUUAAUUAUGAAGGGUUGUGAUCUGUUCAUUGCAAUUGACAGAGAUGUUUUCAGUUGCCUAGACUUCGUAUUUUCAGUUUUAGUAAUAAAUGUCGUUUUUCACCACAUUUGUUUAGUCUCUCGCUUUUAAAUCCCCUCUCACACACAAAAAAAAUUGGAUUUGUAUCUUGUAAACAAAUAUUUUUCAUUUUGUUAAUGUAUUAAUUAUUGUUAUCUACAUUUAUGUGAUAGGGCACAUGCCACAUCGACUAAAAUUAAGUUAUGAAAUUUUGCAGCCCCUGAGCACUCAAUGUUUGUAGGCACAAGUUCAAGUCCCACCAUUUGUUAGGAUUUAAAUAAAGAACAUUAUAACCAUGCGUCCAAGAACUUAAAGAUAGCUUAAGUGCAUGGAUUCGAGUCCUAGUUAUUGUUGGAAUUCGAUUUCCUUUCUAAUUAAAUUGGGUAAGGGUAAAAUUAUCUCUCAAUUAAUAAGGACAGAGUAGAUAUUUCUCUCGAUUUUCCUCCCAAUUAAAUUAGUUAGAAGUAAAAUUAUCUCUCAAUUAAUAACAGUAGAAUAAAUAUCUCUCUAGUAUUAUGCAAGGGUAGAAAUUUGGGCUGUACCAUGUUAGAAUUAUCAAGGAUAGUUUUGGUAGAAUUCUAAUUGUAAUAUAUGAGUGUAUAAAAAAAAUGAACAUCAAUGAAAGAUUUUAGGCAAGAACUAUCUUGGAAUAGAAUUUUGAUUGUAAUAUAUCAGUAUAUAAAAAAAUUUUAUGAAAAAUGUUUAACAAGGACUAUUUUGAUAUUUUAAUGAAUAGUAAAAAUUAAUGUUAAAAUUUGAUAGACGAGUGUAUAGUAAGAUGUGCAAAGUAUUAGAACAUAUAUAAAUAAUCCUAGCUCUAAUAAAAUUUUGCUACAAAAUUAGUUUAUCCCUUAAAGAAACAUAUCAAAAAAAUAUACAAAAACACAAUGCAUGAGUACAUGUCAAUCACAAAUGAAAGCAAUUAAGAUAAAGGAUAUGAUUUAUUUUAUUUUAUUUUAGUUAUUUUUUUAAUUAUUUUUUGUUUCUUUUGAAACAAGACCAAUUAGAUCAUGCAAGAAGUAAUUUUUUUUUUAAAUAAAAAAGGAGAAAUGAUGAAACCCACGUCCAAAGAUGCCGUUGUCGCGGAGGCCUAGAUCUCACUACACCCCAUCCCCUUCUACCAUAUUUUAUAAUUGAAGAGGCCAUUAUUGAAUUGAAAAAUUAUGAUUCAAAAACCCAAAAAUAGAAAAAGAAAAGCAAUUGUUGGAAACACACUCGGAGUUUUAAAUUGACAUGAGAAAAGAAUAUAUUCAUCAACCUCAUACGUUAAAGAUGCGACGAGUUUGAGAUUAUGAGCCAAAUUCCUAACGUGUGGGAAUUUAAAGAUGUUACUACAAAACAUGUGUUCGUCGGUGGAGUAGAAUCAGGGAAAUUAAAGAUGCUACUACAACCACUAACGUGUGGGUGGGGAUAAGCAUAACUUUUUUCAUCAAAUGCCAAAUCCCCCCAGGUGGAGAGUGGGGACUCCUUCGCAUAAAUGUUGAUAAAAUUUUGAUUAUGAUGUUAUUAGAAAUUAGGAAAAACCUGUGGUGCAACUGUGGUACCGUGUUAUAGUUGCAUCCAGCCGUUGGAUACUAGUGGACCCUAUUGUUAACAUAUAUGUUUCCAUAAUAUUGAUUUUGAUGAUAACAAACAAAAUUAAGAAUGAUUAAUCUUUUAAGCUCAAAUUAUUUAAUAUUCUUUUUAAAUAAAUCAUUAUUUUCACAUUAUAAAUGUUUUAUAUUUAAUGGAAAAAUGAUUUUAUGAAAUUGAUUGUUUUUAUUCUCUUUAAAUAAAUCAUUAUUUUUACAUUAUAAAUGUUUUAUAUUUAAUGGAAAAAUGAUUUUAUGAAAUUGAUUGUUUUUAUUCUUUUUAAAUAAAUCAUUAUUUUCACAUUAUAAAUGUUUCAUAUUUAAUGGAAAAAUAAUUUUAUGAAAUUGGUUGUUUUUCAAAGUUUAUGGUUUAAUUAAAAGAAUUUUGAAAACUUUGAAAUAAAUGCUUGAAAUUUUGGAGGACUUAUUUGAAAAGUGUCAUAGCAUUUUUAGCUAUAUCAUAAUUUCAGAAAGUUUUGGGAUUAGCAAAGCAUUACUUAUAAAUUCUAAAAUUGGACCUAUUUAAAAAGUUUUAUAACUUUUUGGGCCGUAAUAUAGUUUUGUAAAGUUUUGGGGUCAAACUGUAAUUUCAGAAAAUAAUGCACUAUGCAGGUUACUGUAGCAUCCGGCUUACCGGAUAUAAAAAACUAGAAAACCGGAUACGGGGCAGUAAGCAUCCGGAACGCAAACGGCUUAUCGGAUUUCGUAACCGGCAAGCCGGUUAGGCAAAAUUCAAAUUUUUGCCUUAGUGGUAACAUAAAUCCAGCUUACCGGAUUCCUUAAACGGCAAACCAGAUACGCUCAGAAUGUGUAUAAUGGGUAGUUUUUGAGUUCAAACUAUAUAAACUCAAAAUCAAUUCAUUUUUGGUAAUACAAGAAAGCAAGAACAAGUGCACACAACAUAUAUUGAGCUUCAAUUUCGUGAAUCAUCAUUCAUUAAAUCAUCUUUGUUCUUAAAUUUGUAUAUCCACUCUUAAAGAGAGUUUGAUUGUUGUAUUUUUCAUUUCUCAUUAAAUUGUGAGAGUACAAGUGUGAGAAACACUUGGAGUGAAGAGAUUGGAGAGAUAAUCUCUUGUUGUAGAGGUUCAUUGACACCUUAAAGUCAAUUGUAAACAUUUGAAGCCUUGGAAAGGCUUGGAUAGUGAAAUCCUCAAGCCCGGUGUGGUUGGAGGCGUGGACGUAGGCGGGGAUUGCCGAACCACGUAAAAAUCCUUGAGUUUGCUUUCUCUUCCCUUACUCAUUUAUUAUUGUGCUUUCAUUGAAUUUAUUGUUUUCGAAUUUAUUAAGGCAUUAGAUUGGAUUUGUGUGGUUUGCUUUACUUAAUUUUUAAAAUUCUAAUUCACCCCCCUUCUUGGAUUGCCUAGUUAGUAUUUCACAUAUCCAUGCAAGUGUAUCCAACAACUGGAUGCAACUAUGGUAAGGUACCACAGUUGCACCGUAGCCGGACCCUAGAAAUUAAGAUAUUAUCUCUCUACAUAUUUUUGCACGAAAUAAUAUGCAAAUAUAAUAUUUUAGUUUAUUAUUAAUAGUUUUACAAUAAUAAAAAUCAUUUUGAUAGACUGGAAAAUGUCGUAUUCGCACUUUAUUUUGUACGAACGUCUGCGAGAAAGAAUAUAUCUAUAUAUAUAUAUUGGAACAUGUAUUUAAGAUUUAGCUAGUGUGAAGUUGGGAAAGUUUUUUUUUUUUUUAACCCAGGCUAAAAAUAUUUCAAUAAAUUUUGAUCAUGGAGACUAAUAAGAUUUUUUUGGUUAUAUUUAUUAAUUUUUUAGGGACUGACAUGAAUAUUAAUAUUUUUAUUGAGAUUAUUAAAAAAAUGUGCUAUUUUACAUCUAUGACUUUUCCAAUCUUUUUUUCUUUCGUUAUUUAUUCCUUUGUGAAUUUUAGUUAAUGCUUGAUAUUAUUUGUUUGCUCAUUUUUUAAAGCAGUAAUUAAAUCUGAACCCUUACAGUAGAAGAUUAUGAAAAAGUAAAGACACAAAAAUCAUAAAAAUCAUUGUAGGUCCAAAUUUGUGCUAUUUUCAUACAUAAUUUGAGAAUAUUUAUAAUUACGCAUCACAACUAGUGGAGUAGAAUCAGGGAAAUUAAACAUUCUACAAUCAUUGACGUGUGGGUUGGGGAUAAGCAUAAACCUUUUCUAUGCAGUAUAAAAGAAUGCAAUAACUCCUUUUCUUUCAGCAUUUUCGCAACAAAAGCACAUCUAAUAACUCUUCAGAAUUCUCGUCUUCUUUGUCAGAAUGGUUGAUGCGAUCGUUUCCUCUCUCCUGGUGCAGCUGAGCUCUGUUGCGGCUGAUGAAGUGAAACAACAGGUGAGGCUUGUGACUGGUGUCGAGGAAGAAGUGAAAAAGCUCACCCGCAAUCUUCGAGCCAUUCGAGCUGUGCUGGAAGAUGCAGAGAAAAGGCAAAUGCAGCGCGACAAUGCUGUUACUUUUUGGCUGGAUCAGCUCAAAGACGCAUCUUAUGACAUGGAAGACGUGUUGGAGGAGUGGACCACUGCAAGGCUCAAAUUGCAGAUUGAGGGCGUUGAUGAUGACAAUGCUCUUGCUCUUGCUCCUUAUAAGAAGAAGGUACGUUCCUUCUUUUGUGCUCUAUCAAACUGCUUUGGUAGUUUCAAAAAACUCAGUCUUCGUCAUGACAUUGCCGUCAAGAUUAGGGAAAUCAAUGGAAAGCUAGAUGAUAUUGCCUCCCAAAAAGAUAGGUUUAAAUUUGUUGAGAAUGUGAGCAACAAUGUUAAGAAACCAGAGCGAGUGCGAGCCAUCCCCUUGAUUGAUGAGAGAGAGGUUUGUGGUAGAGUUGAUGAGAAAAAUGAUCUCUUAAGCAAGCUGCUGUGUGAAAGUAGUGAACAACAAGAAGGCCUUCAUGUCAUCUCACUAGUUGGGUUAGGGGGUAUAGGUAAAACCACUCUAGCACAACUGGCCUAUAAUAAUGAUGAGGUGAAAAGAAAUUUUGAAAAAGUUAUAUGGGUGUGUGUAUCAGACACUUUUGAGGAGAUUAGGGUCGCCAAAGCAAUCAUUGAAGGUCUAGGCGUGUCAGCUUCUGGUUUAAGUGAAUUCGAAUCUCUUAUGAAACAGAUUCAGGAAUAUAUUACGGGGAAGAAAUUUUUUCUUGUUUUAGAUGAUGUGUGGGAUGGAGAUUACAAAAAAUGGGACCCAUUCUUUUCUUGUCUAAAGAAUGGCCACCAUGAAAGUAAAAUUCUAAUUACCACACGUGAUAGGUCAGUUGCACUACAGUUGGGAUCAAUAGAUAUUAUCCCUGUCAAGGAGUUGGGAGAAGGGGAAUGUUGGUUACUGUUUAAGCAGAUGGCAUUUCUACGUAGGUCCUUUGAGGAUCGUGAAAAAUUAGAACCAAUCGGGCGAAAAAUUGCACACAAGUGCAAAGGCUUGCCUCUUGCUGCAAAGGUAAUAGGGAAUCUUUUGCGCUCUAAAAGUACAGUAAAAGAGUGGCAAAGAAUUUUAGAGAGUGAAAUGUGGAAAGUAGAAGCAAUUGGGCAAGGUCUUUUAGCUCCUUUGUUGUUGAGUUAUAAUGAUUUGCCCUCCAAUUCUAUGGUAAAACAAUGUUUCUCAUAUUGUGCUGUCUUUCCAAAAAACUACAAUAUGAAUAAAGAGGAACUAAUUUCACUAUGGAUGGCUCAAGGUUAUCUUAAUACAGAAGAAGACGAAGAGAUGGAGAUGAUUGGGGAAGAGUAUUUCAACAUUUUAGCAGCACGCUCUUUCUUUCAAGAGUUUAAAAAAGAUGAUGAUGAUGAUAUUAUGAGCUGCAAGAUGCAUGACAUAGUACAUGAUUUUGCCCAAUUUGUAAGUAGAAAAGAAUGUUUGUGGGUAGAAAUUAAUGGUACCAAAGACUCAGUCAUAAACUCUUUUGGUGACAAAGUCCGUCACUUAGGGUUAAAUUUUCAAAGAGGCAUUUCAUUUCCUAUGUCCAUUCGUGGACUUAAUAGAUUGCGUACCCUUUUAAUUUAUGAUAGAAGUGAUUUCAAUCUGUCUCUUAGUAGCAUCCUUUUGUCUUUUAGUAGUAGCAAAGAAUGUUUAAGGGCAUUAGUUAUAAGGCUGUUGCGCCUAUGUUUUUGUCCAAACACAUAUAAGAUUAGAGAAACUCGAAAGUUAUUUAGUAAAUUGGCCUGUUUGAGGGCAUUAGUUAUAAGGGAAUCAUUAGUUAUAAGGCUUUCAUCCACGCCUGUUCGUCUUCACUCAAGUUUGAUUAGAGAAAUUCCAAAAAAUGUCGGAAAAUUGAUACAUUUAAGAUAUCUUAAUUUGUCUGAAUUAGGCAUAGAGAGACUACCUAAGACUUUGUGUGAAUUAUAUAAUUUACAAAAGCUAGAUAUUAGGCGGUGCCGAAAUCUUAAAGAAUUGCCAGCGGGGAUUGGGAAGUUAAAGAACAUGAGGAGUUUACUGAAUGGUGAAACUGAUUCGUUGAAAUACAUGCCAGUAGGGAUUUCCAAAUUAACCAGUCUUCGAACAUUAGACAAGUUUGUGGUGGGUGGAGGUGUUGAUGGUAGCAAUACGUGUAGGCUUGAAUCUCUGAAAAAUCUUCAACUCCUUCGAGAAUGUGGAAUAGAAGGGCUGGGUAAUGUGUUAUAUUUAGAUGAGGUCGAGAGAUUACAACUUUACAAUCAGCAAAACCUCCUUCGUUUGCGUCUUGAGUUUGGUAGAGUCGUAGAUGGGGAAGAUGAAGAAAGGAGGAGGAAGAAAGAGAAAGAUGAACAACUUCUUAAAGCCUUACAACUGCCUUUGAGUGUAGAGAAAUUAGGGAUUAUAUUAUAUGGAGGCAACAUUUUUCCCAAAUGGUUGACUUCACUGACCAAUCUAAGGAAUUUAUAUCUUCGCUCGUGCGUUAAGUGUGAGCAUUUGCCUCCUUUGGGAAAAUUGCCUCUGGAAAAACUCGUAAUCAUCCACUUGAAAAGUGUAAAAAGAGUGGGUAACGAGGUUUUGGGAAUAGAAGAAAGCAGUGAGGAUGGCCCGUCUUCAUCUUCAUCACCACCAUCAGUUAUUGCCUUCCCCAAAUUGAAAUCACUCAUAAUUGGGGCAAUGGAAGAAUUGGAAGAGUGGAAUUACAGGAUUACGAGGAGGGAAAACAUCUCUAUCAUGCCACGUCUUUCUUCCUUGGAAGUUCGUUCUUGCAACAAAUUGAAGGCGCUGCCGGAUUACCUUCUUCGAACGUCGACGCUGCAGGAAUUGACUAUUGACAAAUGUCCUCUUCUGGAAAACCGUUAUAGAGAGGGGAAAGGAGAAGACUGGCAUAAGAUAUCUCGCAUUCCCCACAUCAAGUGGUCGCGGUAAUUUAUCACUCGCCGGUAAUUUCUCCUGCUCCUCUGAUUUACUUCGUUGUUGCUUGCAAUGAAAUUAAUAAAAAUAAUUAUAUUUUGAAUUAAAAUUCUAUAUAGAAUCAAUCAUGGUAUAAAUACGUAAAACUUCCUAGUUAUCAAAUCUGUUAAACUUGUUUUCUAAAGAUUAAAUAAAAAAAAAAUACAAGUGUAGUCUGUUUAAAUUUCUAUAUUUAUUUGUUUUUAAAAAAUAUGUGCUCUUUUGUAAAAUUUCAUGCAAUGUAAUUUAUUUUUUAAUGUACGAAAAUUUGUUAUGUGUAACAAAAUCUCUGUGAUACGUUUGCAGUAAUGUUGAAAACUAAAUUAUCAAUUUUAUCUUAUAUAAUGAUAAUCGUAUUUUUUUAUAUAUAAUAUACGUGACAUUAAUUCUUUAAAGUAAUUGUGUAAUUGUUUUUAGUAGUACAUUAGCCCACUUUGUUUUAUUUCAUACUUGUUUAAUUAUGUUCACCAGGGAUUCGAGGAAAUGUCAGAACUACACUAGCAAUUCACAGGUCCAAUCUAAUUUGGUUUUAAUGAUGCGGGCAGGAGAGCAAGACUAUGAAAAUGAGAAGUUUAGCCAAAGGAUUGCUAAAAUGUUCUGCUGGUAAUUCACUUGCUUUAUUUUAUAGAAUUUCAUUUCCAUCUUCUUCUAUUGAUAUCUUGUUGUAAUAAACAAGAACAGAGAAGUAAAUAUAUAUAUCAAAAUUUACUAUUACGAUGAUGCUAAAGCAAGCUCAAGCUCAAGCACUGCAUUUUUAUUUUAUUUAAUUUAUAGAAUUUUCAUUUCCACCUGCAUUGCAUUUUUAGGUUGACUUUGAAGACUCUAUGGAGAAAAUUGGGGUAACCAAGGAUUAUCACUGUGGUUAUUGUGCAACGUUUGGUUGCUGGACUUUGAAGAAGGAAGUGAUGGCCGGGUCUGCUCUGUUUCAAUUGAGGAUGGAUAGCUGCCUGAAAGACAUGAUGAUUAUUAUCAUUGCAUGAUGUUAAGGUGCUAAGAUCAUCAUUUCGAUCUUGUUUCAUUCUUGGAAUCAUUUAUCCUGUAUAAACAUUUGUUUUAACAAAUGUUUCAAUGCCUGCUGUAGUAACAAUUUCAUCUCUUGCAUCUCUCGGGUGCAUCAUGAUCACGGGUUUGAGAAAGCAUUUGUGGUAAAGCUUCAAAGCUUGUACAAUGGCUGUGAAAAGGCACAUUCAAUUCGGUACGUUUGGUGCGGUCUCCUAAUGCUACUACCAUAUUUUGUAUAGCAAUUAAAAUUCAGGUAUACAAUCUUAAUAUGCAAUAAAUCAUUGAGUACAAAGUUAUCUAUUAAUUAUAUGGUAACUGAAAUUUUCAUUAUAAUUUUAAUUAUCAUAUUAAUAUUAAAGUUUUUUGUAACCCUCUUUUACUUUGCUUGUACAGAGUAUCUGUUUUGGCUGAUAUGUCUAAUUCGUAGCAAUUCAUUUCCAUCGGUUUCCAUUGGUUUUAGCACAAACAGAAACAAAAAUCUGGGGAAAAAGUUUUACUUCUUCUGGUAUUAUGCCUUUAUUUAUUCAUUCAUCAUAUUUGUUCGAAUUCAUGCUCUCAUUCAGAGAGCAGCCUUUUCCAGGCUACUUUGUAGCCAAAUUUUCAUGCCAUCGAUGCAUGAUUGUCAUUUAGAUUUUCCAAAUAAUUGUUAGAUUGAAGAAGAAUAAGAAGAUAUUGUUAAAAGGGUAUUUAAUUAGCACCCUCUGAAUUUAGUUGCCAAUAAUGCAUUGAAAUGGUUGGGGAAAGUUAUUGUCUCAAUUAAAUUACAGGUGACAAGAUGCUGCUCCAAUUUUGCAAGCAUCUCGUGUUUCGAGAUUUUGCCCACAUGAGAUGCUAUGAUUUUUGACAUCAGGGUAACAAAGGUCAAAUUUUAGCAUCAAUAGAUAUCAUCUUCUUUACUGUUCUGCUCGAAAUAUUAAACUUUAGGCAAGUUGUUUUUGUUUGUGUGAGUUAUCAGGUUAAGGAUACUAAGCAGCUUAUUAAGGCAAAUGUCAGAAUGAAGAUUUUUCACCGCACCUGGUAUGAAUGAUGGCGAGGAAGAUUAAUUGUUCACAAGCCAAUUUGAUCAGUGUUAGAUUCUUUUGCCUCCCUUCAAGAGAUAUCAUCAUCAAAUUUGAGAAGAGACUUUUGUUUUGACAUUUCACUGUAGUGAAUUUUGGGAGCUUGAACCCACUUGAGUGAAAUAUUAGGGAAUACUGGGGAUAUGGGUUAUGAGUGAUCGUUAUCCUUCAAAUAUUUGUAAGCUCUCACUUGUUAGUAAAAUCAUCUUCGUAUAUUGACUUUGUUUCUUUGUUGUCAGGCCGAGUGUGAUCUUCAAGGUUUGAGAAAGUCUUCGCAGUAAAAUUUCCACCACGUGCAAUUGCUGUGAAGGGGCAUAUACAUUUGAGUAAUUCAGUUUCAGAUUUUCAAGGCGCGUUUGUUUAAUUAGUUUCGAUUAUAAUAUUUAGUCACUCAUUCUGAAUCUUUUCUAAUUUUCAAGUUCUUUAGGGCCGCCAACAGUUUUUCAAGUCUACAUGUGGCUGCAAAAAGAUUGAUGGUCAUCAAAUUAUCUUGAGCCUUGAGGCAUUGCGUUCGAGCACAAAAGGAAACAGAACUAAGGGAAAUGAAGACAGUAGGAGAUGCUCUGAAUAUAACAAAAGUAUAUUUCUACUUCUUGUGGUUAUUUUAAUUUUGUUUAUCCUGUCAUCAUAUUUAAUUAAUUCGUUUGAAUUCACACUCUCACACAUUAUUUAAAACCAUCUGCAGGUGGUUUGCAAGCUAGCUAAGUUAAUGCAAAAACAAUACUCUAGACAAAGAUGAGCAAAUUGAAGGCGACAAAUGCAAAUUGGAUUUCAAUGAAUAAUUGUUAGGCUGGUGGAGAUAUUCUUAAAAGGGCAUUAAGCUAUCUUAUGGAAUUGGAAAGUUAUUAUUGCUUGAAAGCAAGCAGCAUCUUCGUUGCGAAGGCUUUCCCCACCUGAUAAAAUGCUGAGAUUGUUACCGGCCCCUUAAUUAUUUAUUAACUCAGGUAUUUAUUAUCAAUACAUCAUCUUAUUCACCAUUUUGGCUAUAUAUAAAGAUUAAAAUUUCUAACAGUUGUUUCGGAUUCUUGUGUACUCAGGUUAAUAGGGCAAAUAUCAGAAUGAAGAUUGCUCAGUGCAACCGAUAGAGCAAGGAUGAUAGUUGUGAGAAAGAUUGUUGGCAAGACAAAUAGAGCCCUCCAUUUGGAGAAAUAUCAUCCUCAAAUUUGAAUUGUCGAGCAUGUGAGGUGAAUCUAAAGCCUUAAUAAUGAGACCUUCCUGUGGAAGUUUCAUUUGAAUGAAUUGAACGUUCUUACUGAGUGAGAAAUUAAGUAUAUAUCAUCGAUUUUGGUCGUCUGUGAAUGUUUUCCUUCAAUAUUAAUACACUAGCAUUUCUUAGUAAAUUCACUUCACGUCACUUCCUCCUUGUUGGUGGGACUAGUAAACAAAUGUCAUUUCUUAGUACAUUUUGAGAAUUUUGAUUCCCAAAUAAGCCUGCAGAACGGUGUAUGGUGGGAUUAGCUGCAGGAUUCUUUGCCAAAAUUCCUUUUUAUUCCUUUGUUCACUUAUUCGUUAUAAAUAAAGUAAAAUUAGAAUAUUGUUCCGUUUACUGUCUAAGCUGGUCUAACAUUUGUUUAAUUUGGGCAAUUUUUAAUGCCUAACAGGUUAUCUGUGACAAACCCAUCGGUGAGUGUAUGCAACUAUUGGAUGGAUUUGAUAGAGCGGUCACCAACAAUUUUGAAGUUAUUGGAGUAGCAUGGCUUGGAGGUCUCUCCCUCCCUCUUUUACGUAUUUGUCUAUUGAUUGACAUGUCUAUAUAUACAUUGAUAGACCAACCUACUCUGGUUUUAAUGUUUUGUUUGUUAAACUUUGACUGGGGAAUGUUUAUUUGUCUCAUAUGAUGUCAAUGUGGUUCCUAUUGAAGUGUAUAGAUCUGUCACCUCAAAGUCUGAUUUCAAUUUUCCUUUACUUCAUCAACUAGCAUCGUUUCCAAGUCCAGAUACUUACCAAUAGUGAGACUUUUCUACGGAAGUACAAUUUCUCUUGUUUUACAGUUAAUUAUGUAAGAAAAGUUUUACAUUUACAGAAUUCUGGUAUAGCUCUCUUAAGGAAAUGCGAGUGGUGAAUAUGGUUCCAACUUUUAAUAGGCUUAAUAGGCCCAUUUGUUAAGCCACAGUGAUUGCGGUCUAAAUUCUUCUUUACUGUCUAUAUGUGUUGGAGUUUGUCUAUUGUCCAACUUCUCAAAUCGAUUCCAUGCAGGGUUUUGAAUGUCUAAUUAGGAGAAAGAUUAACGGAUGACCUUUUGAAGAAGGCUUACACAACAGGCCAUCUCAGGAUGUCAUGGCUCAGCUCAAAAGUCCCCAGGUGGUUGAUAUCAAAGAAUGCCAUUGUUUCUGGGCUUGGUCUCCUUGGCAUCAAACAAGAUAAUGUUGACUCUAUUAAAGGGGAAAUAAGGGCGACUAAAGCGCGAAGAAAGAGGAUAGUCCGGAGGAAGGUGACUGCAUAAAUUUGUUGGAGUUAAUGUAGUCAAUUGCCCAAUUUUGCUGCCUGUCGAAGAGACACAUCAUGGAAGUCCUCAUCAAACUCUGAGACACCUAAGAAAUAGUAUGAGGUGGUGGUAUUCCCCUGGUGUUAAUUUCCUGGCAAGUGUGGUUCACAGAUAGAGGGAUUCUUUUCUUGAUGUCUAAAUACCGUAUGUGAUACAACGUCGUAUAUUCUAAUUUUCCUUGAGUUAAAUUCUAGUCAGUUAGGAAAGUUAAUUUUGUUUUCGCUAUGGAUUGUUUCCUAGAUAAUAAUAGUUUCCAUGUUUCUUUGGGGUCUUAUUAACUCUCUGUAACCCAGUUCAAGUUUGCAAAUUCUAUUUCAGAUUUCUCAUAUAGUGUGCCUUUGUCACUUCUGUGAUACACUUUUGAUCACAAGUUUCCAUUUGAAGUAACCAAUAUUCUUUAUAGACUAAUUAUCUAAGGAUUAUUUUAUACAAAAAAAUCAAAACUUUAAUUAAUUGAUCAUACUUAACUUGGCUUUUGUUUGAUAUUACUAGCUGUUGUGAGAACCAAAAAAAUAGCAGAAAGUUGACAAUGUGCAGUAAAUGUAUGACUUUUAAAUAAUAAUUUAAUAAAAUUAAUAAAGAUAUUAUAAAUUUUUUAAUAAUAAAGUAUGAGAUCAAAUCAAAUUAAUUUUUAAGUCAAAAUUGUUUAAUUAUGUAGUUUAAAAGUAUAGUUAUCCAACCUCAACACAAUAGAGAGAUUUCUAUUUACCAAACUCUACCCAACUUUGGUUGUACUGACUCGAUCAUGCAAGUCCAUACUCGACGCGUUGACCAUACAAGAUGUUACUCAACUUUAACAAAUCUUACUCAAACUUUGCACGUUUAGCAUGCCGAAUGGAAUAUGAUAGUAGAUGAUGUGAUAGAUAUUAUAGGAAUAGUCGUAACAAAAUUAUAUUUAGUACUUUUUUAUAUUUUAUGUGAUGAACAGAUGUAGUAUAUGAAUGGAUUAUAUUACAAAUUUUAGUGUUAUCAUAAUUAAAAAAUUGAAUUAUUUUUUAUUAUUGAAAAACUGUAAUAUGUUAAAUAACAGUUAUUUUUAUUAAUUUUUUUUAAUGAAUUAUACUUUUAAAUUGUAAUCGAAAAUUCUUAUUACUGAACUAAUAAAAAAUUAAUUAGCUCAAGAGAUAAAUUCACUUAGUGUAGAACGAAAUGGUGUGUUAUUUUUAUGUGGGAUCCACAUCCUUUCCACAUCAACCUCAACAUCCAAACAUGAAAUUGGACUAAAAAUAGUUCUUUCCCAUGUAUUUACGUAACCUCCUCCCACUAAACGCAAAUAUUUAUUCUUGAUUUUACUAACAUAAUUUUCUCCCAUUUCCAUAUUGUCCGCGUUGAGUGCAUGUAAUCCACAAGUUUAAUUUUUUUUUUUUUUUUAGAGAGGUAUGUUAAAAUGAAUAUAUCACUUUUUUUUCUUUUUUCCUUUUUUUUGUGUGAGUGAUGGCUUCGUUGAAUGACAGUUGGCUGAUAAUAAGUUAUCUUUUAAUUUUGUUUUUGAUUUAAUAGAAAAUAUUAAUUUUUGUAGUUUCGGUAGAUGAAAUUUCGAAUCAAAUAUUAAUAUUGUUAAAGUACGCAACCCAAUAUUUGCUUAAAUUACAAAAAAGAUUAAUUGCUUUGCAUAAAAAAGAAGUGAUCACUUGAUUUAACUUCCUUUACUAAAUUUACGAUUUAAAAUCCAAAAUAAAAAAGAGAGUUUAUUAUUGAUUAUCAUUUUCCCAAAUUUAAGCUAAGACAGUAAUAUGUCCAAAAUACCCUCCACGUUAUCCUAAAACUUUAUGAAUUCCCCCGUUCCUCUCAACAUCAUCUCUUCCAAAUCUUUCUUCCCCAAAAAACCAGCCAUGGCUUCAUAUUUAGUUACCUCAACACUCCAAUAUUGGCUUGUAAACAGCAGCGGUUCAACCUCUAGGCAACUUAGGUGGUUGCAUAGGACUCCGCUUUAUAUGAAAGCCCUACAAGAUGAUUAUUUUGUAUAUAAAAGAGGAAAAUGAAUUUAAAAGUCAUUAUUAUUCAUUUAAUUUAUUAUUAUUUUGUAAUUAUCUUUUUCUAAAUAAACUAUCAAAUUCUUAUCAAGUUUAUUUAAUGUAGUACUUAAUUGUUUUAAUUUCUACAAAACCAAUAAAUUAAUAGUUUCAAUCCUAAAAAUUCUCUAUUUCAUUGUUAGAAUUAAUAAGUUAUAUUUCAAAAGUUUUAUAUUUAUUUUAAACCUCUAUAAAAACCCCACAUUUUAUUACUUAUCCAUUAAAUUUUUCGUUCAACAAUCAAGACAUCUUGGUGUUUGAGAGAAAGAAAGAGAGAGGGAAAAAAAUCUUGCUUCCUCUACUUUCUACUCUAGAAGAAAAAGAAAAAAUCAAAUAGUUUUCUCUAUUUUCUAUGACUAUUGGUUGCUACUCAAAUUUUCAAACAACAGCCUUAAUAUAAACAUAAGUUAAUUUAUGAUUUCAUCUCAAAUUUCUGAUUUUAUCUUUUUAUUAUUCUCUUAAUUAAUUGUGUUGUUAUUUGUUCUUAUUUCUUUUUAUAUAUUCUUUUCUUCAUCUACUUUUUUUGUGCUUGUUUUAUCUAUUUUGAAAUAAAACUAUAUCAAAAAAUUUUAGACAAUAGGAGAAUAAAAAAAUUAGAUUAAUUUAAAAAAAUAGUAAAAAAGAUAUAAUUUAACUUAAAAAAAAGUGAAAAUGUUAUAAUUGAAUUAAAAUUUUAUGACUUAACAACAAUAGAAUAAAUUUGUAUUUAAUAAUUUUAUAUUUUAAAGUAUUUAAAGAAUUAAUUUUUAAUAAAUAAUAUUAAUAUAUAUAUAUAUAUAUAAGUUACUUAUCUCUCCAUCCGCACUUAUCUCUCCCUCACAUUCAUCCUCAACCACACAUCAACAUCAACAUCAACAUCACCUCUCAUUGGACCCCACAUCCUCAAGCCCAUCACAGCCGUCCAUAACCUCACCCUCCUCCUCCUCUCCCUCAUCAUGGCCGUUGUUUGCCCUCUCUCCAUCAUCCUCCAUUUACCGCACCUCCGUUACACCCUCUGUUUCCUCCUUACCAUUUCUCCGUCUGGCACGGCCUAAUUCCGACGGAAUCAACGACGGUCGUGAUGGGUUUUGGCUGCGACUAUUCGCGCUUCAAACGGCGGCGUUUCGGUUGGUUUUUGGCGACAGUGACGGUGGGAAAGUGAUGGCUGGCUCAGGAGCUUUCUUUGCUACCAUCCAUGGCCGGUGAGGUGGCCGAAAAUCGGAUAUAUGUCUGCGUCGGGUUCGCAGUUUUGGGUCGGGUUUUCCGGGUCAGUUUGACAGCUUCCUCUAUCCCUCUCCCCCAUAAAACAUUACCCAGCUUCCUCUUAUUAUUAUUUUUUUUUUCACAUACGUUACAGAACAUUAAUGAGAGAUGUUUAGUAGUAAGGACUAUUUUGAUAUUUCGAUGAGUAGUAAAAACUAAUGUUAAAAUUUUAUAGACGAAUGUAUAGUAAGAUGCUCAAAGUACUAGAACAUAUAUAAAUAAUCCCAGCUCUUAUAAAAUUUUGCCACAUAAUGAGUUUUAUCCCUUAAGCAAAACAUAUCGAUAAAGUAUACAAAAGCACAAUGCAUGAAUGAUGGUCUUACAAAGUUCGAAUAUAAAGUUUAAGAUACAGAAUAUGAUUUAUUUCCUUUUAGUUUAGUUUUUUUUUUUUUUUUUGGUUUCUUUUGAAAGGAGACCAACUAGAUCAUGCAAGAAGUUAAUUUUUUUCUAAAAUAAAAAGGGAGAAAUGAUGGUCUUACAAAGUUCGAAUAUAAAGUUUAUAAUCUAAAAUUAAUGAUGUGACAAUUAACCUAAUGGAGUAAGAAGUCCCAAAUAGAUUAUAUUUUGCUAAAGAAGUCAAUUCUACCAAGAAUACCUCUUUCUAUUGAAUUUAAAUGAUGAUUAUUUGUUUAUAUCAUAAAAGCUAAAAUAAUUGUGUGAGUAAUUUGAUUCUUUUACAGUAUAAAAAUAAAUUCAGAAAAUGUUAGGGAAAGGUCUUACACUAUAAAUGACCAAUAGAAGAAUAGAAAAGAAUUUUAGAUAGUGGAAUGUGGAAGGUAGAAGAGUUUGGGAAAGGUCUUUUGGCUACUUUGUUGUUAAGUUAUAAUGAUUUGUCAUCCAUAAUAAAACAAUAUUUCUCACAUUGUUCUAUCUUUUCAAAAGGUUACAAUAUGUGUAAAGAGAAACUAAUUACACUAUGGAUGGCUCAAAGUUACCUUUAAAUGUAGAAAAAGGCAAAGAGAUGGAGAUCCGAUCCAAUAUGAUAAUAGUAGUUUAUUUUAAUUUUUAUUAAUUUGAUUUCAUAGGAGUAGUUUUCAUUUUUUGUUGAAAAUUGGUAAAAAAAAACUAAAAUGAGAUAAUUACUUUAAAACAAUCUUCAAGAACUAAAAUAAUUAAAAAAACUCAAAAUAAACAAAAAGGCUUAAAAAUAACCCUAAUCCGAAAAUUGUUUGAAUCCAUCCUAACUGGCCCGAAUAUGAUUUUAACCCAAACCCAAUCUAACUCGCUUAUAAUUAUAACCUAAUGCGAUCCAAAUUCAACUUGAAUUUUUGAUCCGAUCUAAUCCAAUUUGAAUAUUCUAACCCUAUCAACCAGAAACCCAAUUAGGUUGAUCUGAACCUACAUUUGUCCACUCCUAGAGGGGAUCAUGACCCUACAAACUUUGAAAGUUUUUUGAGAUUUCUAAGUGAAUAUUAAAAAUUAUGUAUAAAAAGACUGAUUUGACCCCUAAACACUUGAUAUAGAAACUUUAUACAUAUAAUAGAAAUUAAUUUUAUAUUUUGUGAAAUAAAAUCAAAGUAACUGAAUUUUUUAAUUUUUAUUUUGUUAAUUAUUUUUCUACUAUGACAAAAUGACUAAUAGCCUGGUGCCUAGCUCUUUGACUUUUAUUUUGCUAAUUAUUUUUUUUCAUUUCUCUUGCAACAGUAAAUUCAAUUAUCAAUCAAAGUCGCCAAAUCAAAAUCUCUGCAGCCUGCAGCUACAAGCAAACUUCUCAAAUUUCGAAAUUCCUUAUGACUACAUAAUAGCUAUAAAUAGAAAAAGCGUCUAAAAUAACUAUGUUUUCCUAAGUUUGAGCUUGAGCCCCCUGAAGAUUUACUCCAUAUGUAACAAAAUAUUAGUUUUGCUAGUAAAAUUGCUAACUAUGUUUUUCUUUGUAUUUCCGCUCAAGGAUGAAGAAAUUUCCCUAGACUUUUGUGGUGAAUAUCUUACGAACAUAUGACAAUUUAAUCUUUGGCUGAGACUUGUUUAACAUAAGAGAUGACACUUUGAAGCAAUAGGAGAGAGAGCUGAUAAGCUUUGUUCCUAAAAAAAAAACUAUUACUUCUUUCUUUGAACAUAUGCGCAUUCUCUCUAAUUGUUGCAAUGGAGGAAUUUCCCAUCUAAAGAACACUUCAAUCAUCCAUUGCUUUGUAAGAUGUGAAAAGGCUACGAUUCUUGUACACAUACUUGAUUGCACCGGAAUCUAUUCACUAUGCAUUAUCAUGUUUGAGAAUAUUAAUCUCAGAUAUCAUGACCAUAAAUUUUGUCCACAAAAUUUGUGUUCAAACACUUCUUUUCUUUCUUAAGAAGUUGACAGUCUUUUUUAAAGUGGCUUGGCUUUUCACAUUGGCCACAUGUACACUUCUUUUUUUUAUUCUGUUGGUUUGAUUCUAUUUGGAAUCAAACUUUUGCUUUUGGUUAUUAAUGCGGUCAUUAGACUGCUUAAGCUCCUUCUCCUCCUCCACAACAUUAAUUUUAGAGGACAUAGCAGGCUGUUCCUCAAGACUAUUAAGUCUAAGUUUCUAUUCAAUAUGAAGACUUUGCCAUGCCUUCCAAGCUAAUUUCCUCUUUGCUAUAUUUAAGACUUUUUUCAUAGUCUUUUCAAGAGGGGGGAAGUUUAUCAAUAAUUGAAGAAGUGGUGCAGUCAAUUAAAUGAGCGAACUCGAGAAUCAUAAGAGUACAUACAAUAGUGGCUACAAUAAUUAGGCCUGCUUCCUCUCUCACCAGAACAGAACUGACGGCCCGAUCCGAUACCGCCAAAUACAUGACACAACUUAAAAGUAAAUUUUAACUCCCAAGUAUAAGAGUGUCUUGUUGUAUUAUAACUCGGUGAGUCCGAGGUCGAUCCACAGAGAAAAGAUUUAAUUAGUUUAUUUUAUUUUAUCUAAAAAUUGAAAUUAAAACUUGAAUAUAAACAACUUAAUUUAAAUGAAACUAUGGAAUUGAACUAGUUAGGGUUAUGGAUCCACUCUUAGAAAUAAAUAAAACUUAAUAAAUUCUUUUUGCCAAUUUGUUUUAGAUUUAUUACUCAAAAGAUUAAUUAUACAAAUUAUUAUUAUUUUCCCUUUAAUUUUAUGAUGGAUUAAGUAUUUAUUGUGCCAAAAUUUAAUUUGUCUACAAUAAGUCAAAAUACCAUUUCACCAUGCCUUAUAUUAAGAUCUUAAGAAUUUAUUGUGCCAAAUUCAUUUGUUUGUCUACAAUAAAUCAAAUUUUCAAAAUAUAAAACAUGUAUAAAAUUAAAUAGAAAAUAAUUUAAUUUAUAAAAUUAAACAUAGAAUUUGAUUAAAUCAUAUUUAUUUCUUAAGAGUUUCACCUUCCCCUAACUAAUAUUAUUUAGUUAAGCAUAAUUAAAAUAAAAAGAAGUAGUAAAAUUGAAUUACUUAUAAUUAAAAGAAAUAAAAACAACUAAAAUUGGAAAUAAAACUAAUUUUAUUAAUGAAAAUAAUUAUACAAAAUAUUAAAAACACACCUGGAAAUCAAGAUUAUAAGGAGAUGGAGAGAAUUUGAGAAGAAGAGAGUUGUAGAGAGAUGAUUAAAACAUAAAAAUGAGGCUCUAUUUAUAGAAAAAUAAAUUCAUAAUCCAGUGCUUUGCGGUCCAUCAUAGGCUUCAUGCAUGUGCUCCUCACAACCCUUAGAUCAAGAUCCAAUGGCUGGUCAAACUUCAAAAGUCAACAUCACACAUGGCAUCAUUUGACUCGUCCGAUUUACCCAAAGAACGGUUGAGAUUUGGCGGGUUAAUGGAUGGAUCGGGUCGACCCGAAUACAAAGAUUCGGAUCCUCCAACUUGCUUCACCAACCAUUGCCACGUGGCACAAUCAUGGCCAUUGAAUCAUGAACGGUUGAGAUUUAGUCAAGAUUGCCAAUUAUCCCAUGCACUCAUAUCUAUUGUAAGCUCAUUUCAUCAUCCAAUCAGUGCUCGGUCAACAGGAAAAGUCAACUUUUUUUACACAAGCCCAAUUUUAAGCCGAUCUUGACUGAUCUUAAGGUUUUCGGACCUCCGGAAUCCAAAUUUGACCUCUGUUUAUCUGUUUGGAGCCUCGAAAUACGUGAAAUUAAUAUUUUUCCUAAUAAACACAUAAAAAUACACAAAAUUAAAUAUAUUUAAAACAUAAUUAAUAAUUCAUAAUAUAUUACAUAAACGCAAAUAUAAAUUAUAACAUAAGCAUAAAAUAACAUAUUAUCGCUUGAUAAUUAAACAAUUUUUAAUACUAAUCACACCCCCCAACCAGCUUAUUGCUAGCCCUCUAGCAAUUAAAGCGUUAUAUUAAGAUUUAUAAAAUUCACAUGCAAGUUAAUAGUUGUUCAUCUAUCCUCUAAAUUACCAAAUAAAUGAACUCUCCCAAAUUCCUUUACCACAUUGAUGUUCACUCAUUAUCCAGAAUAUCAUCAAACCUUCUUUUGUGCUCAAGUAAUUAACACAAUACUUAUGGGGCUUCAUUAAAAGAAAAACAACAUUUUCGUUCUAAAAUUCAUUAGAAAUUAUAUCUUUAGGCAAUAGAUUAUUCACACAUUUUUUUUUUAUAUUACAUUUCUAACCCGUGUAGCGAGCUUUAGGUCAAUGACUCCCAGACCAGUUGGCCUUAGGGCACUAGGUGUUGAAGCACCCCUACGGACUUAAUUACUCGGGUUUCUAAUAAACAAACAAUAUAUCUAUUACCCAUGUAGCGAGCUUUAUGCCAGUGACUCCCAGACCAGUUGACCUUAGGGCACUAGGUGUUGAAACACCCCUACGGACUUAAUUACUCGGGUUUCUAGAUAUAACAAAAUUAAAAACAUUUUUUCUUCUUCUUUUUUUUUGAUUUUUUUUUUUUUUUGGUUUUUUUGUUUUUGGAAAUAUACACUUUCUACUACCUUAGAUACUAUUCCUAAUAAAUCAAAAGAACUAAAUGCUGUAAAACUUUAACUUACAACCCACUAGUAUGUGUCAUAGUGUGUGUGUGAAGAAUGAUUCAAUAAUACCUGUUAAAUGAGUAAACAAUUAAAUAACUUAAUAACCAAGUGGAGAGUUCACAAAUUUGAGUAAUUCAAAGAAAAGGGAACAAAAACAACUUACUAUGAAUCUCAAAAUCAAAAUAUAAUACAACAAGACUAUUAGGAUGCGUCUCAAAAGUCGUGACUCUUUACACGGCCAUCCUAGACAAAAAACAAAUUUUUUUUUUUUGGUUUUUUUUUUUUUUUUAACAAAGAAAAGAAAAGAGAAAAGAGAAAAACAACACACAUAUUUAAAACAUACGUCAAUUAUCCCCACCCCACAACCUAAUCUAAACAUUAUCUUAACAUUUUAUAAUUUUACAGAUAUGCAAAAAAAUAAAAAUAAAAGAGAAUAAUAAAAGAAGAAGAAGAAGAGAUCUCACCUGAACUUGAUGCAGAAGCUUAAAAGCAAAUAACAAAGAUGAAGAAAGAGUCAAUUUUUUUUUUAACAACACCCUUAAGAUUAAGAAGAUGCGUUUCUAGAGAGACUACAUUCUCUAUAUCCUGCCAUCUUCGACUCAAAUUUGUCCUAAGUUAGUCUUUACAGAAAAAAAAAAUUUUUUUUUUUUGUUUUUUGUUUUUUUUUUUUUUUUGUAAACACAUAACCAGGACUAAGACAUUCCACAAUUAUCAACUAUUCCCUCCCCCCAACCUGAAAAAGACAUUGUCCUCAAUGUUUUAAAAGGAAAGAGAAAGAGUGUAGAAGACAUCACAUGAACACUACAACAGAAAAUAUUUACAAACGGAGAGUUAAAUCUAAAUCGCACUUCUUAUUACUGCUACUGUUACCGUUACCGUCAUUAGUCGACCAAUUCAGUGCAACAGUCUGUGGAUCUGGCUCUGGUGUAUAAGCUUGCAAAAGAUCAAGUAACUCAUUAGCAGUAGAAGCAGAGAUAAAGAGUUUUUUUACAGAAUGUGGAACAAAAUGAUUCUUUAUUGCAUGGUUAAUAAAAGUUAGCAAGCCGUCAUAAAAAUUAUUAACAUUUAACAAACCGAUGGGUUUUUGAUGAAUGUUCAAGUGGGCCCAAGAUGCAAAUGUAAUUAGUGCCUCAAAAGUUGCAAGAUCUCCUGGCAAGAAAAUAAAAGCAUCAGCAUGAUUCAUCAUUUCAGAUAUUCUCUCUUGCAUACUUGAUACCACUAAUUCUUCUCCAAUUGGUGGGCCAGACAUGCACACUAGCGGUUUCAUGGGUUUUGGGAUAAUGCCGAGUACUUGGCUUCCUCUGGUAAAAACAGCUUCUGAGACAAGUCUUGAUAACCCUCGUUCACCUCCUCCAUAUACAAGAUGCAGUUUCCUCUCUGCUAUGACACGACCAAGAUCUACAGCUGCCUGAACGAACUCUUUGUACUUUCCAUAGUGAAACCCAGAAAGCACACAAAUAUUUUUGAAUUGUUUACUCGAAGAUGAUGCCAUUGGACUAAUUUUUCAAAAACAAGUUGUGAGUGUUUGAAAAAUGAGCUCAUAUUUAAAGAUCUUGGUAACAUAAAUAAUGAGAAACAGCUGUAAAUGGGUUGGCAAUAUUUGUCAAAUGACGAGUAAAGCUCGUGGCUCAAUAAUUCAAAAACAAACAGUAAAAAGAAAGUAAUGAUUAGAAAAAGCAAACAGUAAAAGAAAACCAAAUAUUUAUUAAAUACAAAAUCACAUCGCUAAAUGCAAUAAUGCAAAUGAUAAAAUAACAGUAAAAUAAAAUAACAGUGAAGUGAAAGGAUAUUUACUGGUAGUUGUGAUUGUGGCUCACAUCUUCCUCUGGUUUUACGUCCAGUAACGGCUUGAACGCCCUCUAUGGGUCGAGGAUCGGCUUCCCAUCCAGUUUUCUUAUAAACUGGCAAACAGGGUCUUUUUGAGUCAGAUUCCCAAGACUUAACUGUGCACUUUGUUUUUGGAAUAGUAUCCACAAAUUGUAAAUCUCACGUUGCACAAUUCCGCUUCGAUGCGUCUCAAGAGAUCGUAAGAUAUCAUCCAACGAUUCUUUACUCAUGCCAUCUUUAACGAAUUUAAUUUUAUCUUCACGAGUAUCAGAAACCAUUCCUAAAGAUUUACAAUCUGGUCGUUUGCAACCAAGUCUCACACAGUUAUGACAUUUUGAGCCAAGUCGUUUAGCUCUCCUUUUCUUAGCAAACGUACUUUUACCAAAACCAGGCAUGUAAGAAACAAAUUGACCAGAAAAUUCACCUGCUAAUCGGACCUUUGCUUCAAUUAACCAACGAAUGUCAGAAGGAAUGCCAUUGAUCAUUAACAAACGCAGUCGUUCACAACGAGCUUUGUAAAUUUUCCUGAGGGCAUUCUGAGGGAGAGAGGGAAAAUGCUUAUGGAGUUUAUGUUGUAUUUCUUCCAUGUAUGAUUUUGGGGUUUCAGUUAUUGUGGGAAACUGAAGAUACCGACUUAAAAAGUCACGGAGUACCGUUAUCCGCCAUUUAUACGGGAAAAUAAAUCAAAACACACCAAAAUCAAAUCUGCAAAAUCAAAUCAAGCGUGAAAGCGAGCAAAAAGAAGCACACAAUAUAAAAGGAAAAUGAACUUACAUUCGUCCUCUCAUUGAGUUAACCUCAAGCUCCAUUUGAAAUUCAUAUAUGCCACUCUCUACUGUUCUGAGUUGUCCCUCUAGAUCCUCAACAUAGGACACGAAUUCUGGUGGUUGCAGAUCCCAAAGUGGAUGUGAUUUACAGCUUUGUAUCAGGCCUCUUAAGUGAAAUUUUAUACGCCGAAAUCUUUUAAGAUGUGCGAACAGGUAUUUUCUCAUUGAGGUGCUCAUGAUGUAAAAUGAAAAUUGAUGAGAGAAUGUACAACUGUCAAACAAACACGCUUACACAAGAAAAACAAUGUUAAAAAAAAACUAUGUACAGUGCAUCAAUCUAAGGAAAAAAAAAAGUCAAACAAUGAAACGGUAAAAUAAUAGUAAAACAAAAAAAAAUCAUUAAAAACUUAAUCAAGAACUGGUGGGUCAUCCAAAUUAAUUUCGGUGUCCUCGUCACGUGGGUGAUGUUCCAGAUAUGGUUUUAAUCUUUGACCAUUAACUUUAAAUGUGACACCAUUAUUUGGAUUCUCAAUUUCUAUGGCCCCAUAUGAAUAUACAUUUUUUACAACAAAUGGGCCACUCCAUUUUGACUUUAACUUUCCUGGAAAUAAAUGAAGACGAGAAUUAUAAAGCAACACUUUUUGACCAAUCUCAAAUGUUUUUCGAAAAAUUCUUUUAUCAUGAAAUGCUUUUGUUCUUGCCUUAAUAAUUCUUGAAUUUUCAUAUGCAUCAUUCCUUAAUUCCUCAAGUUCAUUCAAUUGCAAUUUUCGCACAUUACUAGCAUCAACCAAAUUUGAAUUAAAAGCUUUAAUAGCCCAAAGUGAUUUAUGUUCAAGUUCAACAGGUAAAUGACAAGGUUUACCAUAAAUUAACCGAUAGGGUGACAUUCCUAAUGAUGUUUUAAAUGCAGUGCGGUAAGCCCAAAGUGCAUCAUUAAGUCUAAGAGACCAAUCUUUUCGGUUUGGGUUAACCGUUUUUUCCAAAAUUUGUUUUAUCUCCCUAUUUGCUAAUUCAACUUGACCAUUUGUUUGAGGAUGAUAAGGGGUAGCAAUUUUAUGUGUAAUUCCAUAUUUCUUCAUUAAAGACUCAAAUGACUUAUUACAAAAAUGCUUACCUCCAUCACUGAUAAUGGCUCGAGGGAUUCCAAAUCGACUUAAAAUGUUUUCUCUUAAAAAUUUAAUCACAGUUUUACUGUCAUUAUUUCGACAAGAAAUUGCUUCAAUCCAUUUUGAGACAUAAUCAACUGCAACUAAUAUAUACACAAAUCCAAAAGAUGAUGGAAAUGGACCCAUGAAAUCAAUUCCCCAACAGUCAAAUAUUUCAAUUUCAAGUAUGGGAUUUAAGGGCAUCAUGUUUCUUUUUGUAAUUGAUCCCAAUUUUUGACAUUUUUCACAACUUUUGCAAAAUUCAUAUGUGUCUUUAAACAUGGUAGGCCAAUAAAAUCCACACUGCAAAAUUUUAGCAGUAGUUUUUCUUGAAGAAAAGUGACCACCACAUGCUUCAGAAUGACAAAAAUUAAUGACACUACUUACCUCAUUAUCAGGAAUACAUCGCCGAAAAAUUUGAUCUGGGCAAUAUUUGAACAAAUAAGGAUCAUCCCAAUAAAAUUUCUUUACUUCAACAAAAAAUUUCUUCUUCUCUUGAGCAUUCCAUUGCAAAGGCAUUUUACCUGUAACAAGAAAAUUAACAAUAUUAGCAUACCAUGGCAUUGAAGUAACAGAAAAUAAAAAUUCAUCAGGGAAAGAAUCAUUUAUGGGUGUUAUAUCAUUGCAGAAUUCGGAUGUGAGUCUUGAUAGAUGAUCAGCAACAACAUUUUCAGCACCCUUUUUAUCUUUGAUGGUAAGGUCAAAUUCUUGUAGUAACAAAAUCCAACGAAUUAGUCUCGGUUUGGCAUCCUGUUUACUCAUCAAAUAUCUCACAGCAGCAUGGUCAGUAAACACAACAGAUUUAGAGCCAAGCAAAUAUGAACGGAAUUUGUUUAAUGCAAAUACCACAGCAAGUAAUUCUUUUUCAGUUGUAGAAUAAUUCAUUUGAGCACUAUCCAAAGUCUUGCUCGCAUAAUAAAUCACAAAAGGCUUACCAUCCCUUCUUUGUCCUAAAACAGCACCAACAGCAAAAUCACUUGCAUCACACAUUAAUUCAAAUGGCAAAGACCAAUCAGGAGAUUGCAUAAUAGGUGCAGAUGUUAAAAGACAAAUUAUUUUUUCAAAAGAUUUUUGGCAAUCAUCAUUCCAUUCAAACGGUGCAUCUUUUAAUAAGAGGUUACAAAGUGGUUUAGAUAUGGCACUAAAGUUUUUUAUAAACCUCCUAUAAAAUCCUGCAUGUCCUAAAAAGGAUCGCACAUCUCUAACUGUUUUUGGUUGUGGCAAUUUAGAUAUGACUUCGAUUUUUGCUUUGUCAACUUCAAUUCCUUUAAUAGAAACAACAUGACCCAAAACAAUUCCAGAAGUAACCAUGUAGUGACAUUUUUCCCAAUUCAACACGAGUUCUUUUUCAACACAUCUUUUUAAAACUUUCUCCAAAUUAUCAAGGCAAUCAUCAAAAGAAUUCCCAAACACAGUCAAAUCAUCCAUAAAGACCUCUAAACAAUGUUCAACCAUAUCACAAAAAAUGCUUAACAUACAUCUUUGAAAUGUUGCAGGAGCAUUACAAAGCCCGAAUGGCAUUCUUUUAAAUGCAAAUGUUCCAAAAGGACAUGUGAAUGUGGUCUUUUCUUGGUCCUCAAGUGCUAUAGGAAUUUGAUAAUAACCUGAAUAUCCAUCUAAAAAACAAUAGUAUGGAUGUCCUGCUACUCUUUCUAAGAUUUGGUCAAGGAAUGGUAAUGGAAAAUGAUCUUUUCUAGUGGCUUCAUUUAAUUUUCUAUAAUCAAUGCACAUGCGCCAACUAGAUGUAAUUCGUGUUGGAAUUAAUUCACCUUUUUCAUUUUUAACAACAGUGAUUCCAGAUUUUUUAGGCACUACUUGUGUAGGACUUACCCACUUACUAUCAGAAAUAGGGUAGAUAAUUCCCACAUCAAGUAAUUUAAGGACUUCUAUUUUGACUACCUCUUUCAUGUGUGGGUUUAUCUUCUUUGAGGUUGUUGACAUAUUUUAGCAUUUUCUUCCAAAUUAAUUCUAUGUGUGCAGAUUAAGGGAUUAAUGCCUUUAAUGUCAUUUAAAGUCCAUCCUAUUGCAUUUUUAUGCUUUUUAAGAACAGUAAGUAACUUACCUUCUUGGUCGCUUGUUAAAGUAGAAGAAAUCACAACAGGAUAAGUUUGUUCUUCUCCAAGAAAAGCAUAUUUCAAUCCUUCAGGCAAAGGUUUCAAUUCCAUUUUAGGCGCUUCUUGUUGUUCUAUCUUUUCAAUACUUCCAAGCUCCUCAAAUUUUGGCUCGUCAUCAUAAUUUUGCGAAGUCUGCAUAGAAUCAAGCAACGAAUUUAUAUUAGAAAUAUCAAGUUUAAGUUGCUUAUUUGACUCAAUUGAAUUAACUAAACAAACAUUAGAAAGUUCAGAAAAAUCCCCUUUUUGAAUAUUUUCCUCGAUACAAGAUUCAAACAAUUCCUUUUGUUCAUCAGUAUCAUCUUCAUUCUCAUUUUCUUCAUUAGGUUGCCUGCACAUGUUGAAAACAUUCAAUUCCAAAGUCAUAUUCCCAAAGGAUAAAUUCAUUAAACCAUUCCUACAAUUAAUCAAAGCAUUAGCAGUUGCUAAAAAUGGUCGACCUAAAAUUACAGGAAUUGGUUUGUAAUUAUUCACAACAGGUUCAGUUUCCAAGACAAUAAAAUCCACAGGAUAAAUAAAUUUAUCAACUUGUACUAAAACAUCUUCCACUAUUCCUUUUGGUACUUUAACUGAUCUAUCGGCAAGCAAAAGUGUAGUUGAAGUUGAUUUUAACUCACCAAGAUUAAGUUGAAGAUAAACUGAAUAUGGAAGCAAAUUAACACUAGCACCAAGAUCUAGUAAAGCAUGCUCAAUUCUGUGGUUACCAAUAAUACAAGAAAUGGUAGGACAACCAGGAUCUUUAUAUUUCAACUUAUUAUUAGUAGACAGAAUUGUACUUACCUGUUCGGCCAUGAAAGCACUCUUUCUUACCUUCAAUUUCCUCUUAACAGUGCACAAGUCCUUUAAAAAUUUGGCAUAUGAAGGAACCUGCUUGAUUGCAUCUAAUAGAGGAAUGUUAACUUUCACUUGCUUAAAGAUUUCAUAAAUUUCAGAAGAGUGGUUUGAUUUCUUUGGUUUAUUCAAUGCAUGCGGAAAUGGUGGUUCAGGUGGAACACUAGUUAUUUCUUCACUAGGUGUAAGUUCAUUUAGUCCUUCCUUACCCUUUGAAUUUUCAUCAUUUUCAUAAGGUUCAGGCAUAGGUCUAUCAACAACCUUACCACUACGAAGAGUUAUAACUGACUUGACUUGGUCUGUGGGUGGAUUUUGUUGAAUUUUAGGAUUUGGUUGUGGUUGGGCUGGAAAUUUUCCUUUUUCUUGAAUGGUGAGUGCAGAAGCAAUUUUAGCAAGAGUAUCUUUCAAAUCAGAAAAAGUUUGUGCAUUUUGAUUGUUAAUAACAUCUUGCUUUCUGAUGAAUGAAUGCAUUGUGUCCUCCAGAUUUUUCCAAGGUGGUGGAACAUAUGGUGCAUAAGGCUGAGGAUUUUGAAAAUUUUGUGGAGGUGGUGCUUGUGAAGAUUGUGCAUUAUUAUUAUUCCUCCAACUGAAAUUCGGAUGAUUUUUCCAACCAGGAUUAUAAGUCUGUGAAUAUGGGUUUGGUUUAUUGAAAGUGUUAAUAACAUUAGCUUGAUCAUUUAGACAUUCUUUAAGUGCAGGCAAAGUGGGACACUCUUGAGUGAAAUGAUCAUUCGAAUUACAUAUGUUACAUGCAAUUUCUUGAACAGAUUUUACUUGAUCACUCUUUUUAUGCUCCAAAGCUUCAACUUUCCUAACUAGGGAUGCAAAUUUUGCUUGUAAAUCAUGAUCUUCCCUAAGGUUAUGGAUUCCUCCACUAGAUGGAGAUGAUUGUUGCUUAUUUGUCAAUUCAAAAGUUCCAACAGUAUCCCAAUGUUGUGCAUUUUCAGCUAAUUGGUCAAGGUAAUCUAGUGCAUCUUCAGGAUUUUUAUCCCUAAAUUCACCAUUACACAUCAUUUCAACAACCUGUCUACUUUGGGGUAUUAAGCCUUCGUAGAAAUAAGUGACCAAUCGCCAAGUUUCAAAACCAUGAUGUGGGCAUAUGUUAAGCAACUCUUUAAACCUAUCCCAACAUUGGUAUAAUGUUUCUCCAUUUUUUUGAGUGAAAGAAGUGAUUUGCCUUUUAAAAGAAUUUGUUCUAUGAGGUGGAAAGAAUUUUUUCAAAAACUGUUCUUGCAUGUUAUUCCAAGUUCUUACUGAUCCAGAUCUAAGGUUUUGUAGCCAAGUUUUAGCUUUAUCUUUUAAUGAAAAAGGAAAAAGCUUUAAUCUAAUUAUGUUCAUGCUACAAUUUUGGUCCGUGUAUGUAUUACAAACUUCCUCAAAAUCUCUUAGAUGCAAGUACGGAUUCUCAGAUUCUAAACCAUGAAAUGUUGGUAAAAGUUGGAUAAUACCUGGUUUAAAAUUGAAUCGAGAUGCUUCUGGAGGAAAUACUAUACACGACGGUGCUCCGGUUCUGGUUGGAUUCAUGUAGUCUCUCAGAGUCCUUGGUUGAUUCUGAUCAUGCCCAUGUUGAGAUUGGUUGUCUCCCUGAUCAAUUUGAGGAUUAGGUUCGCCCAAAACGUUUUCGCCUUGAUUCUCAUCCAUGAUUGGUGGUGGAGAUUGAGAUCUACGAAUUAACCUGCCACUUGAAGAUCGAGACCAAUGUCUCAUGCAAGGGUUAUGUUAUAAAGAUAAUAUUUACACAAAUUGAUAACAAAAUAAAAUAAAAAAAUAAAUAAGUAAAUAAUAUAAGUAUACAAAAGAAAAUUAAAUAACAAAAAUGGUGGUUGAACCCACCAAUUAAAAAAAUAAAAAAUGCAAAAUUAAAUAAAUACUGAAAAUUAAAUAACUGAAAAUAAAAGUUAAGGGUUAGUAGUUAGUUUGGUGGUUAAACCCACCAAUAAAGCAAAAAAAAAUAAAUAAAUAAAUAAAUAAAUACGAAAUAAAAUAAAUGCAGAAAAUUAAAUAACUGAAAUUAAAUAAAAGUUAGGAGUUAGCAGUUAGUAAGUUAAGAGUUAGUAAUUAGAGUUAGUAGUUAAAGUUAGUUUGGUCCAAAAUAAGUCCAAAUAUGUCCAAAGUAUGUCCAAAUAUGUCCAAAGUAUGUCCAAAUAUGUCCAAGUCUUGAUUAUGUUGAGGAAUUUCGUCUAGGGAUUCUAUUGCAAAUUAUUUUUAAUUUUAUGGUCAAACUAUAAUUUUUAGAAGUUUAGAAUUAGCAAUUUGGGAUGAAAGUGAAACAAUUGAAAGAUAUCGCGGUCCGAACAUAAUUACCAGAAGAUUGGGCUAGAAACGGAAAUUGUUGGGGUGAAAUUAGAAUUAUGAAAGAUAUGGGGACAAAAGAGAAUUUAAGAAAAGGAAAAGGGGGCAAACGAAAUUUUACAUAUAAGAGAAAAAUAAAAACGGAAAAACAAACCAAAUAAAAAACUUUUCCCCGGCAACGGCGCCAAAAACUUGACACAACUUAAAAGUAAAUUUUAACUCCCAAGUAUAAGAGUGUCUUGUUGUAUUAUAACUCGGUGAGUCCGAGGUCGAUCCACAGAGAAAAGAUUUAAUUAGUUUAUUUUAUUUUAUCUAAAAAUUGAAAUUAAAACUUGAAUAUAAACAACUUAAUUUAAAUGAAACUAUGGAAUUGAACUAGUUAGGGUUAUGGAUCCACUCUUAGAAAUAAAUAAAACUUAAUAAAUUCUUUUUGCCAAUUUGUUUUAGAUUUAUUACUCAAAAGAUUAAUUAUACAAAUUAUUAUUAUUUUCCCUUUAAUUUUAUGGUGGAUUAAGUAUUUAUUGUGCCAAAAUUUAAUUUGUCUACAAUAAGUCAAAAUACCAUUUCAUCAUGCCUUAUAUUAAGAUCUUAAGAAUUUAUUGUGCCAAAUUCAUUUGUUUGUCUACAAUAAAUCAAAUUUUCAAAAUAUAAAACAUGUAUAAAAUUAAAUAGAAAAUAAUUUAAUUUAUAAAAUUAAACAUAGAAUUUGAUUAAAUCCUAUUUAUUUCUUAAGAGUUUCACCUUCCCCUAACUAAUAUUAUUUAGUUAAGCAUAAUUAAAAUAAAAAGAAGUAGUAAAAUUGAAUUACUUAUAAUUAAAAGAAAUAAAAACAACUAAAAUUGGAAAUAAAACUAAUUUUAUUAAUGAAAAUAAUUAUACAAAAUAUUAAAAACACACCUGGAAAUCAAGAUUACAAGGAGAUGGAGAGAAUUUGAGAAGAAGAGAGUUGUAGAGAGAUGAUUAAAACAUAAAAAUGAGGCUCUAUUUAUAGAAAAAUAAAUUCAUAAUCCAGUGCUUUGCGGUCCAUCAUAGGCUUCAUGCAUGUGCUCCUCACAACCCUUAGAUCAAGAUCCAAUGGCUGGUCAAACUUCAAAAGUCAACAUCACACAUGGCAUCAUUUGACUCGUCCGAUUUACCCAAAGAACGGUUGAGAUUUGGCGGGUUAAUGGAUGGAUCGGGUCGACCCGAAUACAAAGAUUCGGAUCCUCCAACUUGCUUCACCAACCAUUGCCACGUGGCACAAUCAUGGCCAUUGAAUCAUGAACGGUUGAGAUUUAGUCAAGAUUGCCAAUUAUCCCAUGCACUCAUAUCUAUUGUAAGCUCAUUUCAUCAUCCAAUCAGUGCUCGGUCAACAGGAAAAGUCAACUUUUUUUACACAAGCCCAAUUUUAAGCCGAUCUUGACUGAUCUUAAGGUUUUCGGACCUCCGGAAUCCAAAUUUGACCUCCGUUUAUCUGUUUGGAGCCUCGAAGUACGUGAAAUUAAUAAUUUUCCUAAUAAACACAUAAAAAUACACAAAAUUAAAUAUAUUUAAAACAUAAUUAAUAAUUCAUAAUAUAUUACAUAAACACAAAUAUAAAUUAUAACAUAAGCAUAAAAUAACAUAUUAUCGCUUGAUAAUUAAACAAUUUUUAAUACUAAUCAUUUCUUACUUGUGGUGUCUUCCUUAAUGUACUUAGACUCCAAUAAGUCCUCUAUUUCUUUUGCUGUGGAUUUUGUUGUGGUACUUAUCAAAACAAAGUACUAGCAAUGGCAUUGUAAAUGUGUCCUAUGCACAGGUAGACAUCUUGCUUCCACUUUUGCCACACUCAAGUUUCUCAUCCUCACGUUCUUCAGGCUUUCAUAUUGUAAGAACAUAAACAACAUUGAGGCUUGUCAACAAGAAAUGUAAUGUUUUUUGCCAACGUAUAAAAGUUGUGACUAGGGGUGGGCAUGGGUUGGUUUGGGUUGGUUUUUAAGUCAAUCCAAACCAAACCAUAAAAAUUUGGAUCCAACCCAAACCAACCCAAAUAUUUUUAACCCAAACCAAACCAAACCAUUUGGGUUUGGUUUGAAUUUUAUUAUCAAAAUAAUUUUUAUUUUAAUAAAAUUUAAUUAUAUCAAAAUUAUAAUAAUUAUUAAUUGUUAUUAAUUAUUAAAUUGAUAUUAAAAUAUAAAAAAAUAUAGUGGAUAAAAAUUAUAAAUUUUACAAUAACUUAAUCCUUAAAUUAAAGAAUACUAGAAAAUCAAAAUAAAGUUUAAUCACAAAAAUUAUUAUUUCUCAAUAAAUAAGAACAUACACUUUAAUAAUAAACUUUCACAAACAUGACAUUAACAAUCUAAUAAUAAAUUAUUUUUAACAUAUAUUAUUUUUCCCCCUUCUCCUUUUAUAAUGGCCAAAAACCCCUCUAAUAGUAUAAGUUUACAAUAUUACCCUUAUUUUCAACUACUCUUUUAUUUCUAUUUAUUCUAAAUUAAAUAAAUCAUAUGAAUAGAAACUAAAUAAAAAAUAAAGCAUUAAAAAUAAGAAAUAUAUGUUUUGAUAUGAACAAAAAAAUUAAUAAUAAAAUUUUUUUAUACUUAUUUAUUUUGUGAAAAUUUUCUUAUAAUAAAUAUAUAAGAAAAUUAUUAGUCAAAUGAUAAAAAAAUUUUAUAAGAAAACUUGAAUGACAAAUAAAAAUUUAUUAUAAGAUAAAUAAUAAAAUAUUUUACCUAUACUUUUUACAUUUAAUUUUAAAAUAUUACAAAAUAUUUAUUAUAAGAAAAUGUUCACAAAAUAAAUAAUUACAAGAAAAAAUUUUAUUAUUAAUUUUUCUGCUCAUAUCAAAACAUAUAUUUCGUGUUUUAAUACUUAAUAUAGGCAUUACAUUCAAUUAUUGACCAAAAAUUAGCCGCCAUCUAGCAUAUCGGACCCAGUCCAAGCCGAGUUAUUAUUGAUCAUUAGUAGAGUCUCCUGCUCUUUCUAUGAUGAUCCUUCCAUGUGGGAGGAAUUAUUUUUGUAAAUAAGAAAAAAAAUUAUUUAUGUUAUUUACAAUAAUAUUUAUUUAAUUUAAAUUUAUUUUUACUAUUAUUUUCAUUUUCUAACUGUUGACAAUUGAUCACGCUGUAAAAAAUUUAAUGGUGGUCUUUCACUUAUUUGUGUUCAUUUAUUUUGUUUUCAUUUAUUUCAUUUGAAAAAUUUGAGUGUUGGGGUUUUGUCAAUAACCCAUGGGUAAACCAUACCCAAACCAUAAUGAAAUGGUUUUCUACAUAAAACCCAUAUCUAACCAAUUUUCAUGAUUUACCCAACCCAAACCAUUUAAUUUGGUUUGAGUUUGGAUAAACCCAUGGGUUGUGGGUUUAUGCCCACCCCUAGUUGUGACCAUCAACUGCUCUAAUUUAACAAAAUCUACUGUGAAUUGCGGAUGAGAUGAGCUCAGUGUCAUUGUUACAGAAAGAACGUCUUAUGAAUGUCGGGAAAAUAUAUUUUUAGGGAAUGAAAAAUGUAAUAAUGGCAAACGUAGAGAGUUACAGUAAUAAUGAUUAUGCCACAAAGAUAAUGAGUCAAUUAUGUAAUAAUGACAAACAUAGAGAGUUGCAGUAAUAAUGGUGGAAUUUUUUUCUAAUAAAAUAAUGAGUUUACUACUCUGUAGGUACAACGAAAAUAAUAGUAAUAAGUAAAUUGUAGAAAUUAACGUGUAUUUCAAGGCACUUUACAAAUAUUACUUUCUUUAGACGUUAUUCGCCCCCAUCAAUUGAGUGAUGAAUAUGGGUUAAACAAAUACGCAUCUACGAUACAAUGAAACACUUAUUUAUUUGUUUGCAUUGGGUAUCGACAAAAGCAAACCUAAAUACUCUUGAAUGUUGCAAGCUUGUCAAGAAUCAAUAUAAUUGUUCCUGUAGUAAACAAUAUGUUGGAUAUUUAAUGCAUAAAAUAUAGAUGUUAUAUGAUAAAAUUCGUUUUAGAAAGGAGAGUUUAGAAAAGAGUGUUAUAAGAAUGUUAUUUUCAUGUCUAAAUGGCCUAAACAUGGCCUCUAUUUAUAAAUAUAAUUGUGCCCUCCAUUUGGAUUGUCAUUUUUCAUGAUACCCAUUCGUUUAUGGUCAUUGGAUCAAGAUUUGAUUUUAAUCAAUUGUCUAAAUAAGUACAUCACCAUUUCAAAUGAAAUGACAAUGUGAAAUGAUACAUUUUUAAGUGGAAAGAUACCUUUUAUAUGGGACAAUUACUAGGACAAGUUUUUAUAAUAAAACAUCAUUUAUUUUGAAAUUGUUACAGCCCUAAGAUUAUUCUAGGUUAAGUUAAUCUAUUAUGUAUAACUUCAGAAGGUUCAUCGGUAGAUUGCUUUAAGUUUUUGUCAUAGUUUACAAAUAUUUUGUUACUUAUAAUGUAAGAAAUUUUACAAAUGUUGGUGCUGAGUAAUCUGCAUAAUUAUUAUGAAUCAGAGAAACAGGGCAGAUGUUGUACAAUUAUUGUUGUGGUGGAGCGGAAAGUUAGCCCGGACGGUGACUGCUAUUGGGAUUUCUUUAAUUUGCAGCAUAAAAGCAUUUACAUUGACAUCGACUCAAGGGUAAAAAUUAAAUAUCUCAUGUAGCAUAAGAAGAAUGCAAAAAUGCUUGAAUGAGCAUUCUCACUGAAUACACAAAAGCUACUUUCCCUUGAGCACUUUCGCAACAAAAGCAAAUGUAAAAUGUAGCAUUUAAUUCUAACAUCAAAUGGUUGAUGCCAUCGUUUCCAUCCCUUGGGGAAAUUGAAUUCCUCUAUCUGAUAUUACAGUCUGGAGCGGCUCUUAAGUACCUCAGGCAACUUAGGGCAAUUUAGGCGGUUGCUCAGGGCCCCACAUUUAACCUAGGAUCCCAUUAUAAAUGAAGGUUUCUAAGUUAAUUCUUAAAUUAUAGUUAUUAAUUAUUGAUUUAUAUUUAUUAUUUAUAACUAUAUUUUCCAUAAACAAACUACUAGAUUCUUUCAAAUCCCCUUUUAAUAUUAUAAUUAACAAUUUUAAUCCAUUUAUUUCCUCCGUAUAUUUCAUUUAAAACUCUAUAAAGGCCACACCUUUUUUAAAUUAUUAUCCAUUAAUAUCUUUUUCCAAUUAAAGAAAAAAACAAAACCUUCAUUACUUUGGUGAAAAAACUACUUUCUCUACCUUACUUUUUGCAUAAGGAAGAAAAGAAAAUCAAUCGUUUUACUUUCUUUUGAUCAUUGUUGCUCAAAGUCUCAAUCCAUCAAAGUUAAAUUUCUCAAAUUUUCAGGUUUUAUCUUCCGAUUCUCUUAUUAAUUAAUUGUGUUAUUUAGGUGUUUUUGUUUCUUUGUAAAAAUAUUAUUCUGUUCAUAGGUUGUUUUCUUUUAAUUAUCUAGCAUAAUAGUUUGCAUGAUUACUCUUGUUUCAUUAGAAAAAAAAAAUGUCUACUAAAAACUAUGCAUCAUGAUACAAAAAACUUCAUAAAAGGAGAAGAACAGAAAAGUUAGUUUAAUCUAAAAAACAAUGCUAUUGAUAAAAAAAUAUUUAAGAUCACCCAUUUCAUAAGAAAGAUUAAAUAGGUUAACUAUAUUGUCUAUUGAGAAAGAUAUAUUAGCAAAAUUAGAAUAUAAAAAGUUGACUAAUAAUUUUGCAUCUAAGAAAGUUAGAGAAAUUGAUUUUAAAUAAAUAAAACUUUAAUAAAUUAAUACAUAUAUUUCACCUCAAUUUUUUUAGAAGGCCUAAUUAAAUCAAUUUAUUUAAGACCUAAAAUAUGAUUGAGCCGCCUUGAAAUUGCAGUAAGAUAGAAAAGUGAAAUAGACAGAACACUUGCUCAUACGUAAAGAUGCGACGAAUUUGAGAAUACUUAUUAUUAUGUGCCAAAUUCCUAAUGUGUGGGAAUUUAAAAAUGUUAGUGCAUAACAUGUGUUUAUCGGUGGAGUAGAAUCAGGGAAAUUAAAGAUAAGCAUAAUUUUUGCAUCCAAUGCCAAAUUCCCCCAGGGAGAGAGUGGGGACUCCUUUGCAUAAAAGUUGUUAAAAGUUUAUUGUUAAUAAUAAAAAUAACAUGCAGAUACAGUAUUUUAGGUUAUUGUUAAUAGUUUUACAAUAAUAAAAAUCAUUUUGUUAGAUCGUAAAAUGUAGUACUCAUACUCUAUUUUGUGCAAAAGUCUGCGAGAAAGGAUUUCAGAUUUACCUAACGGGGAAGUUGGGAACUUGCUUUUUUACCUAGGCUAAAAAUAUUUCAAUAAAUUCUGAUCGUGGAGACUACCUGAAACGACCCGCCCCGAAACCCCCCAGGCGAGUCUAUCUAGUUACAUCAAAACAGACUUAAAAAUAAUAUUAUACGUAAAGAAUCUGCUGAAAAUUCGACAGAGUCUCCUUUAUAUAUAUAACACUCCCAAAGUACAAAUAUGAAUAUACAACAAACUCCAGUGCUCAACAUACUCAACCAAAAAUACUGAGUUAUAUAAUAUACAACCCCAAAAGAACAAGAUGACCAAGAUGUCCCAACAGAAACAUUUAUAUACUCUAGCACCAUCACGUGGCCAAGACUCAAAAUAUAUACAGUCGCUGGGUCGGUCUGGUGUACCUGCAACCUCCUGGUGAGGGGGGGAAAAUAUAAUAAAAACGGGGUGAGUUUAAAACUCAGUGAGAUUAGUGAGUGGAUAGUAGGUUUGAAAAUUGAUCUUUACUUUAAAAGAAAUAAGCAUAUCCAAACACGGUUUCAUUAAACCAUAAGUGAGAAAUCAGAAAUAAAUCAUUAAAUAUUUAAAUCAGAUUACCAACCAUAGAAAUCAUAUCACCAAAUCAUAUCGAUUUCACAAAUCUGAAAAUCAUAUCUCAUCAUAUCUCUGCAUGCAUAAUCUAGUCCCCAAAGGACAAAAGCGCCCAAGCACACGGCCCAAAGCCUCUGUGUGUACUCAGACGGGCCCCAAAGGCCUCCUUACAAUCAGAGCGCGCACCUCCCUUAUUACCCCUCAGUUUGGCGGGCCUCCCUUAUUACCCCUCAUCUAUAUCACUGUACUCAUAUUCACAUACCUCUUUACCACAUUUUAAAUCAUACCACAUUUGAAUCCACUUUUCUUAACUUUCAAAUAAUAUCACACUUUAUUCAAAAUCGAUACGCAAAAUUAUUAACCAAACAUUUUCAUAUAAUAUCAACAAGUGAAUAAAAUCCAUUUCGAGAAAUCAUUAAAUCAGCACAUUUAAAAAUACUUAUUCCGCAACCAUGCUUUACUAUCAUAAUUAACUCUAAAAAUAAGUUUCGUAUAUUCCACUCACAGUGACGGUGUUCAUAGUCGGUUAUCGUCUACGUCCGCGGACCGGUUCUCGCUCGCGGAUCCUCCUAAAUCAAGGAAACGACAUAAUUAUUCUCCGUAAAUCGGAAUUCCGACUAAAUAUAUGCAAUAACUCGAAACGAACAUUUAUCCAUAAUUAACAACUCCCGUGACGAUAAAAUUACUAAAAUGCCCUUGAGUCCGUAAAUCAUUAACAUGCUCCGAAAUCGUAAAUCACCGAAUUAUCCUCGAAAUCGUAAUUACACCCAAUUCACAAUUCUAUGAAUUACUGAAAUAUCCACAGGCUCAGAAAUGACAAAAUUGCCCUCAUAGUGUGAAAUUACCAAAAUGCCCUUGCCGGUCAACGGUCACCGGAAUUUGGUCAACGCUGGCCAGGAAGCUCAAAUCUUAAAGUGCCAAUCACGCUGAGUUCAAUGGUACCGGCGGUGAGCUCCAACGCGCGGCAACGACGCCGGAAUCUAGCUCGACAGCCGUGAGUUCCAACAAUCGACCGGCAGCAAAACGACGACUCUCGGUGCCUAUGAAUGGUCGGAAAUGGAAGAGGGAGUCAUGAGGAACAAAAUCCAACCGGUGGUGUCACUCAAAACCGGCGAAAAUCUCGGCGGAGUAAAGUGAAGCAGUCGCGGGUUUCAAGCUUCGAUCGCCGGCGUUCCGGUUCGUUUUCGGCAGUGAGGAUGGCAGGGGAACGACGGUCGGCUUCUAAGCUUCAGAUCGGUACCAAGCUCGGCCAAAACGGUGGUCGGAAACGUGAAAUCCGUCCGGGUUAAAGUCGCGGGUCGGGUCGGAUCCGGCGGGUCAAGAUCGGGUAAGUUGGCAGCUUCUCUCUCUCUGUUUUGCACGUGCAUGUGUUUUUCCUCUGUUUCCAACAUAUUCCUUUGCUUAUAAACUCUUUCACCGCCUCAUGCCAUUUUACAUUCACAGGUAUUACACUACCAAGAGUUUUUUUUAGUCAUAUAUAUUUAUUUUUUAGGGACCAAUAUGAAUAUUACUAAUUUUAUCGAGAUUAUUAAAAAAACAAUGUGCUAAUUUACCAAUAUGAUUUCUCCAAUCUUUUUUCUUUUCGUCAUUUAUUCCUUUGUGAAUUUGAGUUAAUGCUUGAUAUUAUUUUUGUGCUCAUUUUUUAAAGUAGAAGAUUAUGAAAAAGUGAACACACAAAAAGCAUAAAAAUUAUUAUUAGAUCCAAAUUUGUGCUAUUUCAUACAUAACUUGAGAAUAUUUAUAAUUACGCAUCACAACUAGUGGAGUAGAAUCAGGGAAAUUAAACAUUCUACAGUCAUUGACGUGUGGGGUGGGGAUAAGCAUAAACCUUUUCUAUGCAGUAUAAAAGAGUGCAAUAACUCCUUUUCUUUCAGUAUCAUCGCAACAAAAGCACAUCUAAUAACUCUUCAGAAUUCUCGUCUUCUUUGUCAGAAUGGUUGAUGCAAUCGUUUCCUCUCUCCUGGAGCAGCUGAUCUCUGUUGCGGCCGAUAAAGUGAAACAACAGGUGAGGCUUGUGACUGGUGUCCGAGAAGAAGUGAAAAAGCUUACCAGCAAUCUUCAAGCCAUUCGAGCUGUGCUGGAGGAUGCAGAGCAAAGGCAAAUGCAGCAAGACAAAGCUGUUACUUUUUGGCUGGAUCAGCUCAAAGACGCAUCCUACGACAUGGAAGAUGUGUUGGACGAGUGGGUCUUUGCAAGGCUCAAAUUGCAAAUUGAGGGCGUUGAUGAUGACAAUGCUUUUUCCCUUGCUCCUCACAAGAAGAAGGUACGUUCCUUCUUUCCUGCUGUAUCAAACUGCUUUGGUAGUUUCAAACAACUUAGUCUUCGUCUUGACAUUGCUGUCAAGAUUAGGGAAAUCAAUGAAAAGCUAGAUGAUAUUGCCUCCCAAAAAGCUAGGUUUAAAUUUGUUGAAAAUGUGAGUAACCAUGUUAAAAAACUGAAACAAGCGCGAACCACCUCCUUGAUUGAUGAGGGAGAGGUCUGUGGUAGAGUUGACGAGAAAAACGAGCUCUUAAGCAAGUUGUUGUUUGAAAGUAGCGAACAACAAAAAGGCCUUCAUGUCAUCUCACUAGUUGGGUUAGGGGGCAUAGGUAAAACCACUCUUGCACAACUGGCCUAUAAUAAUGAUGAGGUGAAAAGAAAUUUUGAAAAAGUUAUAUGGGUGUGUAUCAGACACUUUGGAGGAGAUUAGGGUUGCCAAUGCAAUCAUUGAAGGUCUAGCCGAGUCAGCUUCUAGUUUAAGCGAAUUUCAAUCUCUUCUAAGCCAUAUCCAUAGAUCAAUUGAAGGAAAAAAAAAUUUUCUUGUCUUAGAUGAUGUAUGGGAUGGGGAUUACAAAAAAUGGGAACCAUUCUUCCUAUGUUUAAAGCAUGGUCUCCACGGAAGUAAAAUUUUGGUUACUACACGUAAUGAGUCAGUUGCACGUAUGAUGGGAUCAACAAAUAUUAUUUUCAUUGAGCAAUUGACUGAAGAGGAAUGCUGGUCGUUGUUCAAGCGGUUAGCAUUUUUCGGUCACUCUUUCGAGGAUUGUGAAAGAUUAGAACCAAUCGGGCGAAAAAUUGCACGCAGGUGCAAAGGCCUGCCUCUUGCUGCAAAGGUAAUAGGGAAUCUCUUGCGCUCUAAAAGUACAAUAAAAGACUGGCAAAGAAUUUUAGAUAGUGAAAUGUGGAAGGUAGAAGAGCUAUGGAAAGGUCUUUUGACUCCUUUAUUGUUGAGUUAUAAUGAUUUGUCGUCCAAUUCUAUGGUAAAACGAUGUUUUUCAUAUUGUGCUGUCUUUUUGAAAGACUACAAUAUGUAUAAAGAGGAACUAAUUUCACUAUGGAUGGCUCAAGGUUACCUUAAUGCAGAAGAAUAUGAAGAGAUGGAGAUUACUGGGGAAGAGUGUUUCAACAUUUUAGCAGCACGCUCUUUCUUUCAAGAGUUUGAGAAAAAUGAUGAUGAUGAUAUUAUGAGUUGCAAGAUGCAUGACCUAGAACAUGAUUUUGCUCAAUUUGUAAGUAGCAAUGAAUGUUUGUGGCUAGAAUUUAGUGGUACCAGAGAAUCAGUCAUAAACCCUUUUGGUGAGAAAGUCCGUCACUUAGGGUUAAAUUUUAAAGAAGGCGCUUCAUUUCCUAUGUCCAUUCAUGGACUUAAUAGAUUGCGUACCCUCCUAAUUGAUGAUGAAAGUCCUUUCAAUUCAUCUCUUAAUAAUAGCAUCCUUCCAGAGUUAUUUAGUAAUUUGGCGUGUUUGAGGCCAUUAGUUAUAAGGCAAUCAUCCUUGCUUUUUCGUUAUCCCCCAAAUGGGAUUAGAGAAAUUCCAGAAAAUGUCAGAAAAUUGAUACAUUUGAAAUGUCUUAAUUUGUCUGAAUUACACAUAAAGAGACUACCUGAGACUUUGUGUGAAUUAUAUAAUUUACAAAAGCUAGAUAUUAGGGGGUGCCGAAAUCUAAGAGAAUUGCCUGUGGGGAUCGGGAAGUUAAAGAACAUGAGGAGUUUACUAAAUGGUGUUACUCGUUCGUUGAAGUACAUGCCAAUAGGGAUUUCCAAAUUAACCAGUCUUCGAACAUUAGACAAGUUUGCUGUGGGUGGAGGUGUUGAUGGUGGCAGUACGUGUAGGCUUGAAUGUCUGAAAAAUUUUCGACUCAUUCAAAAAUGUGGAAUAGAAGGGCUGAGUAAUGUGUCACAUUUAGAUGAGCCUGAGAGAUUAGAACACAAAAAUAUGGAAAACCUCCUUCAUUUGUAUCUUUUGUUUGAAGUUGUAGAUUAGGAAGAUAAAGAAGAGGAUGAAGAUGAAGGUGGGGAAGAUGAAGGUGAAGAUGGAGGAUAUGAAGAAGAAGGAGGUGAAGUUGUAAAUGUGGAAGAUGAAGAAAGGAGGAGGAAGAAUGAGAAAGAUGAACAACUUCUUGAAGCCUUAAGCCGCCUUUGAAUGUAGAGGAAUUAUGGAUUUUAUUAUAUGGAGGCAGCAUUUUUCCCAAAUGGUUGACUUCGCUAACCAAUCUAAGGAAUUUAUUUCUUCACGGGUGUCUUAACUGUGAGCAUUUGCCUCCUCUGGGAAAAUUGCUUCUGGAAAAACUCGCCCUGCAAAAUUUGAAUAGUAUAAAAAGAGUGGGCAAUGAGGUUUUGGGAAUAGAGGAAAGUAGUGAUGAUGACCCGUCUUAAUCUUCAUCAUCAUCAUCAGUUAUUGCCUUCCCCAAAUUGAAAUCACUCAAAAUUUGGGACAUGGAAGAAUUGGAAGAGUGGGAUUACAGGGUUACGAGGAAGGAAAACAUCUCCAUCAUGCCACGUCUUUCUUCCUUGGAAAGGUGUUGCCAGAUGACCUUCUUCAAACGUCGACACUGCAGGAAUUGAGUAUUGGGGGAUGUCCUAUUUACUUCAGUGUACGAUAAUUUGUUACGUGAAACUUCUUGAGAGACUGAAUUUCUGGGGUACUUUGUAGUAAUGUUGAAAACUAAGUGAUGGCUGGGUCUGCUCUGUUUCAGUUGAGGAUGGUUUGCUUCCUGGAAGACAUGCUGAUUAUUAUUGCAUGAUAUUAAGGUGCUGAGAUCAUCAUUUCUAUCUUGUUUCUUUCUUUGAUCGGUUUAUCCUCUAUAAGCAUAUGGAAUUAUGCUAGUAUUAUCACUUCUUCACUCAAUUUUCACUGUUGGUUGUAAUAACCAUUUCAGGUUCUCAAAAGCCUCAAAGCAAAGCAUCUUUGGGCUGAUCAUAUAUUUCAAUUGACGAAGCAAUUCGAUGUUGGCACUAUUAUGCAGGUAACCAGAGUUGAUAAUUUGCACAAAUUUGCAUUGUCAGAAUACCCUUCAUAUUCACUGUGUUUCUUUGUGUAGGUAUGUAGAGUAUCAUCUUCAAGGGUUGUAAGAGCCUUUGCAGUAAAUUUAGCUGCUCGUGCAAUUGCUCAUUCAUCGGAGUACAAUUUUGGAUUUUCAAGGUUUGUAUGCUCAGUUGUAAUUAAAAUGCUUAGUCACUUAUUCCUAAUCUUUCUGAUUUUCAAGUUGUUUUAGGUCCAUAAACAGUUUUCAAACAUGUUUCAAUGCUUCUUGUAAUGACAAUUUCAUAUCUUGCAUCUCUAACGUGCAUCACGUUUGAAACAGCUUUCGCGGUAAAGUCUUCGAUGCUUCUACAAUGGCUGUGAAGAGGCACAUUAAAUUCGGUACAUUUUGGUACGGCCUCCCAAUGCUGGUAUAAUGUUGUGUAUAUUUAGUUUGCAAUUAAAACUUAGGUAUACAAAUCUUAAUCUGCAAUAGAUCGUAGUGUACAAAGUUUUCUAUUAAUGAUAUGGUGACUGAAAGUUUAAUUAUCUUAAAAUUUUUCUAUGACUCUCUUUUACUUUCUUUGUACAGAGUACCUGUUUUGGCUGAUGUGUCUAAUUCAUAGAAAUUCAUUUCCAUCGGUUUCCAUUGGUUUGAGCACAAACAGAAACAGAGGUCUGAGGAAAAGUUUUAUUUCUUGCGGUAUUAUGCCUUUGUUUCUUUAUUCACCAUAUUUGUUCGAAUUCAUGCCCUCAUUAAGAAUUUAAAGCCUUUUCCAGGCAGCUUUGUAGGCUACCUUAUGAAAUUGGAAAGUUAUUAUUGCUUGAAUGCAAGCACCGUCUUCUGUUGCGAAGGCUUUCCCCACAUGAUGAGAUGCUGUGAUUGUUACCGGACCCUUAAUUAUUUAACUCAGGAUUUUAUCAUCAACCACAUCAUCUUAUUCACCAUUUUGGAUAUAUAUAAAGAUUAAAAUUUCUAACAGUUGUUUCGGAUUCUUGUGUAAUCAGAUAAAUGGGGCAAAUGUCAGAACAAAGAUUGUUCAGUGUUGCUGGUAGGGCAAGGAUGAUGAUGGUGAGGAAGAUUGUUCACAAGCCAAGUAGAGCUAGGGAUGGCAAAACAUCGGGUCGGGCUCGGGCUUGGCCAAACCCGACCCGACCCGAUCAACAAAGAAUUAAAGCCCGACCCUAAAAAAGCCCUACCUAUUUAUAAUUAGGGUUGGGUCGGGCUCGACCCGAAUCGGACCAACCCUACCGAAAUCUAUAAUAGCAACAGCCACCACAGAGCUAUUUUCCAAAUUCACCAAAUCGAACUCUGAAAAUCCAAUCAAACUUUGGCUUAUAAAGCCAAAAUCAUUGCUUAAUUAAACCUAUACAGAAAAUAAUACUUCCACUCGCUGAAGAUUUUCCUCGAGUCCUCAUAUGUUUCUCUGUUUACUUGUCUACGAACAGCAAACAAGAAGUUUGCUAUUUCAUAUCAGUGUCGCACAAUAAAAUAAUUAAUUAAACAAAUUAUUAAAUUUACAAAGAAAUCAAUCCCUAAGCUGGUAUAGCAUCCACUAGACUACUCUUUUUAAUCGUUAAUUAAUAAAUAGUUACUGAUCUAUAACAAAUUCUUUCCAUCACCACAAAAAUAAAAUAAAAAUUCAUUGCCAUCUAAUUGGAUUAUAAGAUACAAUAACAAUUGGCAAUUGUAUUGCCAUCUAAUUUCAUUACCUAAACUUAAUUAUAAGAAACAAAUUGGCUGCUGGAAUAGAGGACAUAAAGAAGUCAAAAAUUGAACUUACAAUUUUGGUCAUAAACUUAAUUUGAACUUACAAUUUUGGUCGGAAAUAAUUACAGAACCGAUCGAGAGUAUUGCUGGUUUUAUGGGUAAAUAAAAAAUUGUAUGCAGUGCGGCGACGGGCGGCUGGCUGGUUCACUCACGUCGCGGCGUCGCGGACGGUCACGAUGGCGGAUUGGCGGUGAGANNNNNNNNNNNNNNNNNNNNNNNNNNNNNNNNNNNNNNNNNNNNNNNNNNNNNNNNNNNNNNNNNNNNNNNNNNNNNNNNNNNNNNNNNNNNNNNNNNNNNNNNNNNNNNNNNNNNNNNNNNNNNNNNNNNNNNNNNNNNNNNNNNNNNNNNNNNNNNNNNNNNNNNNNNNNNNNNNNNNNNNNNNNNNNNNNNNNNNNNNNNNNNNNNNNNNNNNNNNNNNNNNNNNNNNNNNNNNNNNNNNNNNNNNNNNNNNNNNNNNNNNNNNNNNNNNNNNNNNNNNNNNNNNNNNNNNNNNNNNNNNNNNNNNNNNNNNNNNNNNNNNNNNNNNNNNNNNNNNNNNNNNNNNNNNNNNNNNNNNNNNNNNNNNNNNNNNNNNNNNNNNNNNNNNNNNNNNNNNNNNNNNNNNNNNNNNNNNNNNNNNNNNNNNNNNNNNNNNNNNNNNNNNNNNNNNNNNNNNNNNNNNNNNNNNNNNNNNNNNNNNNNNNNNNNNNNNNNNNNNNNNNNNNNNNNNNNNNNNNNNNNNNNNNNNUGUUAUUAGAGUGAGUAGAAAUUAAGCACAUAUCUGCGAUUUGGGUUGUCGGUGAAUGUUUUCCUUUAAUAUUUGUACACACCCAUUUCUUAGUAAAAUUUUCUUCAUGUCUAUUACUAUGACAUAGGCUAAUAGCCGUACCAUAUAACAUUAUCUUCUUAUUUCUUUAUGCUUGGUUUUGCUACAUAUCAUUUCUGUACAUUCAAGAAUGCAAUUUUGUAACUACUUAACUCUGCUUCGGCAAAGUUAAGUAGUUACAAAAUUCUUUUUUUUUUCCUUUUUCUUUCUCCGAUAAAAUUGCCACAAAUGGAAGCGAUUGGCUUGAUUUUUGCUUCUGUAAAAAGUGGUGGGAGCAAUGUCUUGUGUACCCGCAAGUUAUAAAUCGUCAUAGUUUAAAUGAAGAAUCCAGAGUUGCCAUCCAAAACUAAAGAAAUUGCAAAUUAAGUAGUUCAUUACAAAUGAUAUAUUUUGAGUUGCUAAUUAUUAAGUAUUUUAUUCAAAAAUGUUCUCGUUCCCACAAUUCCUAAUGUUUAAAGUGCAUCAUUGCUCUACUUCCGUCAUAACAGCAUAAGAGAAUUUAACAUAAUACUAAGAAAAUGAUUAUUUUACCCUAAAUGUAAAUGAUUAUUCUACCCUUGACAUAAAAUAACUAAUUUGCCCUAAUUUAAUAACGAAAAAAAUAGAUGACUGCAAUAUAGAUAUUAAAUAAUAAAUAAAAUAAAAAAUCAGAAUUAAGCUAAUUUGUUCAAGACAAUAUCUUUAGUUGGCAUGUAAUUUUCAUUAGCCGGCGUCUACUCUUAAUUUAUGUCAAAUUAAGUAAUCGCUUCGCCCCAAUAAUGUUGCCUUUGAUCUCUCAGCCCCAGUAAAAGAAUUGGCUGAAAGAGAAUGUUGGUCACUGUUUAAGCAAGUAUGCUUUUGGCGGUCCUUUGAGGAUCUUCAAAAUUUAGAACCAAUCAAAAAUAAAAAAUUUCAUACAAGUGUAAAGGCUUGCCUCUUAAUGCAAAGGUAAUACGAAGUCUCUUGCUGACAUAUACAUCCUUUACUUUAUAAUCUUUUACUUUUGCUCUUAAGCUAAAGCAUUAAAAGGCCCCAUAUCCACUCUUUAUAUAUAUAUAGGGAGAAUGACAAUUUUCUCCCAUACUAUAAUCAAUAUAUAUCAUUUACGUCCUACUUUUUUAUAAUAACCAAUAAUCCUUGGAUAGCAUAAUUUAACAAUAUUAUUUUUGGUUUAUUUUAAUUUUUGUUCAUUUGAUUUCAUAGUAGUAGUUUUCAUUUUUUUAGUUUAAAAUUUGUAAAAUGAACUAAAAUGAGAUAAUUUUGAAAAAGAAUCAAAACAAAAAAAGGCCCAAAAUUACCCCUGUUCCGAACAUUAUCUGAAUCCAUCAUAAUUGACCCAAAUUCAAAUUUAACUCAAACCCAACCUUGGCCUCAUAUAAUUAUAACCUGAUCCGAUCUAGACUCAACCCCAAAGUUUUGAUUUGAUCUAAUCCAAUUCGAAUAUUCCAAGCCAAUCAACCUAAAACCCAAUCAAGUUGAUCCAAACCCAAAUUUGCGCACUCCUAGAGGGGACCAUCACCCUAUAAGCUUUGAAUUUUUUUUGAGGUUUUUAAAUGAAAUAUUCAAAAUUAGGUAUAAAAUGACUGAUUUGCCCUGGAAUACUUGAUACAUAUAAUGAAACUUUAAUUGUAUAUUUUGUGAAAUAAAAUCAAUUAAACCUGAUUUUUUUAUUUGUUAAUUAUUUUUCAUAGCCUUUUUUAAAAGUUUGUAAGUUUGGGCCUACCUCUUUGAUUUUUAUUUUGUUCAUUUUGCUUUCUCUUGCAACAAUAGUUUCAAAUACCAGUCACAAAAUUCUCAAAUUUUGGAAUACCCUACAUACUAGCUAUAAAUAGAAAAAACUGAAUAAAAUUAAUCCCCAACUAACACUUGAAAUUUGAACUUGGGCCUCAUGAAGAUUUACUCAGAGCUCCGCCCCUGAUAUGCAAUAAAAUAUUAGUUUUGCUAGUGAAAUUGCCAAUUAUGUUUUUUUUUUUUGUAUUUUCCGCUUAGGGAAGAAGAAAUUUCCUACAACUAUUGUGGUGAAUAUCUUGUGAAUUUAUGACAGUUUAAUCUUUAGUUUGCCACUUGCUUAAAAUGAAAAAGGGAAAAGGGUAUUUAUAUCUCUAAGGUUUGGAGAAAUAGUCACCAACACUACAAGUUUUUUAAAAAGGACAUCAAGACUCCUUUUUGACCACAAUACCCUUUACCUUUAGUAUCUCGAAAAAUUUAACUUGCAAAUGAAUAAAUACAAAUAUUAUAUAAAUAAUGUAAUCUACGUUGUAGAUUAAUAAUAUUAAAAUAUUAAAAUAAAUUUAAAUAUGUAAAUUAAUAUAUUUAUUUAAUAAUAUAUUUGUAUUUAUUGUAGAGAUUUUAAAUAAAUAUUUGCAUUAAAUACAUUUUACAAUUAAAAAAGUCUCACAUACUAAUAAUGUUAAAAUUAUUAUUUUACAUAAUAAUUUAAAUUUUAAUACAUUUAUUUUAAUAUUAUGUUUACAUUUAUCAUAAAAUUUACUUUAACAUAAUAAAAUAUAUUAAUAGAUUGUAAAAUAUUAAAAUAUUUUUAAAUAUUGAAAUUAUUUUAAAAUGUAUAAAUUAUUACAUUUAUUUUAAUAUUAUAUUUCUCUUUACUAUAAAAAAUUAAAGUUAACUUUUGGGAUAAUAAAGGUAAAGGGUAUUGUAGUAAGAAAGAAGUUUUAGUAUCUUUUCUUGAAAACUUAAGAGCGUUGGUAACCAUUUCUCCAAACUUUGGGGAUAUAAAUGUCUUUUUCCUAACAAAAAAUGACAUUUUUAAUAGGAAAUAUAAUAAGCUUUGUUCUAUAGAAAAAUCCAUCAGAUAUAUUAUGCCCCCGGUUGCUAUGUUAAAAAUAAGUAAUUCUUCUUUUUGUAUAUUAAAAUAGUAAAAGGGUGGAUAAUAUUUAAAUUUUUUUUUUACCUUUUAUCUUUUUUGACAUUCGAAUUUUAAACUCGAGAAAUAGACUUCCUGAGAGGUUAACUAAAUUCUUAGUAAUUUGAUAUAAUUUCAUAACCGUUCUCCAAAAGCAAUUUUAUAAAUCAUUGUGGAAAAGCUUUAUUCCUUAGUUAUCUUUCGCAUAUUUUCUUUGUAGUAUGAUAUUUAUUAAAAUCAUUAUGGGACUGAUUUUAUUCUCUUUUUUUUCUCAACAAAAUAUCCGACUGCAGAUGUAAUAAAUUACUAAUUACAAUUAUUUGAGUCCCACUCUAAAUUAGAUUUUGAAAUAAAGUUACAUUCUCAAAUGACCAAAUGAAUUAACGAGUCUGACAAAAAGAUGUUGUCGGCCAAGUUGAAAAAUAUAAUAAAUAAAUUGUCAGGAGAUGAUUUUUUCUGAAAUUUCACUUUCAAGGUCCAGAACACAUUCAAAUUUCCGUUGAAAUUCAUAAUGGAUUCAUAUGAUCGGGCGAAAUUACACUAUACAAUUUCAUCAAUACCUAUUAAACGAUAAAAAAUUUAUUGAUUAUUUAUAAUUAAAAAAAAUCUAUCUACUAAGACUAUUCUAGAUCAACAAUUAAUAUAUUAAAUAUAACUUCAGAAGGUUCAUCGGUGUAUUGAUCUAAGCCUUUUGCAGUAGUUUAUAAAUAUUUUGUUGCUUAUAAUGUAAGAAAUUUUACAGGAGUUGAUGCUGAGUAGUCUGAAUAAGAAAAUUAAUUAUAUUGUAAGUUAUUGGGUAUUCAUAAUAAAAUAAACAAAUAAAAAAUGAAUAAAAAUUUAAAUACUUAAUUAAUUUUUAUCAAAUUCUUAUCAAAUAUUUAAAAUAUAUAUAAAAUCAAUUAAUUGAUGAUGUUGUUAAUUUUCAUGAUAUUUUUAAUAUUAUAUUAGUGAUUAUUAAAUUUAAUACAAUCAAUAAUGCUAUAAAUUAUUAAAUGGUUAAUUUUAUUGACAAAUUAUCAAAUAUGCAAAUAAUGAAAAAUUAAUCUCAAGAGUUGGUAGAAGUAAAGUUCCAAUUUAAUCAGAUGAUAGAUAAUAAAUAAAAAUAAUUUUUAAGUAAAUUAUAAAUUAAAAAAUAAUUAAUAUUAAGUAUAAAUAAACAAUAAUGAUAGAAAUUAAAGUCUCAUAAGAGUAUCUCCAAAAGACUCUUCAAAUAAGAUUCUACUUCUUAUUUGAAGAGCCAUAUCAAUAUUUAACACUCCAAAAGACACGUUAAUUUAGAUUCUUCAAAUAAGAUUUGUUUCUCACUCUUCAAUAUUGCCGAGUGAGUUUCUCCCUCUUCUAUUAAUAUUUUAUUAUUAUUUAUUGAAAAGAUAAGACUGCAAUAAUUAUUAUUUAUGUUUCUUUUAAAAAAUAUAAUAACAAUACAAUUUGAUAGUGGGAAAAUUUGAUUAAAAUAAUAUUAAUUUAUUCUUAUUUGGUGAGUCUUUUGGACGGGAUUAUAUUUUUUUAUACACUUAUUUGCCACAUCAGUAAGCAAAUUGAAAUUUAAAGAGUAAAAUUUAAAGAUCCUUUUGGAGAUGCUCUAAAUAGAUAACUUUUUUUCUUUAAUUUUAUCCCAACUAAAAUCAUGUGUAAAUUAGAAUGAUUAAUCCCAUAAUUGUAGGAUGAAACUUAAAUUUAGUCCCCGAGUCCAAUUCAAUUAAGUUUAACAAACAUGAGAUAAAUAUUUAAUCACAAAAUUAGUCCAAUUUCGUACUUAAUCCUAGUAUAUGAACAUGGAUUGAUAAAAUAAUUUAGGUAAUAUGCUUCUAUGACUUACAAUUUAAAUAAAUUUGAGAAUUUAUAUAAGGGAUGGAAAAUUCAUAAUAAUCAUAACAUGUGCUAUCUUUUCUUCCUUUUCUUAAUUAAAUAAAAGAAAAAUAUUCAUCACAGAACCACCGCUGUUUAAAAUGACCCGAUGAUCGAUGAAGUCGCAUUCGCCUAUCUAAUAUUGCGCAAUCAGAUAAAUUCUCAAAUUUAAAAUGAAUUUAAUCUGCAAUUAUAUCAAUAACUACACAAUAAAGAUUAAAAAAUUUCAAAUUAUACUUGAGUUAAAAUUUAAUUCUUUUUUAUUGUUUAAAGUAAUUUAUUUAUAAUUAUUUUAACCCAAUUAGAUUUAUUUUUUUUAAUGCUUGUUCUAUGACAGAAUUGGUCCUCAAAGUUUAAUUAAGCUUGAGAUGGAUACUCUCAGCAAUUUAUUACCUAUUUUAUUAGAAUCUAAGAGGAAAAGAGAGUUGCGAUUUGUAUGUGUAGAAAGAAAAUGUCAAAACGAAAUGUUAAUGUCACUUGUAGAGAGAGAGUUGGGACUGAUGACCAUAUACAUUUUUCCGCCCCUAAUAAGAGCUUGCUUGACGAUAGUGAAGAACUAAUGAGACUGAGGAUCUGCAAUUUAGUCAUGAAAAAUUAGUGACUAAAUACAACUAAAUUUCAGUUUUCUCUUUCUAAUUUCUUUGGGAUCCAGAAAAAAACAUUUCCCCCUCAAUUUUCUGUUUGCAAGGGGGUAACUGUAAGCACAGUCUGAUUUUAUUUUCAGGGAAUAAUAUCGGUGAACCACCGUCGGGAAAAAUUUGAAGUCUAAACAGGUCAUUCACAGAUAAGGCCAAAGAGUAAAACAGGUCGUUCAUCGUGCGUUUGGAUUCCUUUCAUCUUGUUAAUUAUUGAAGACAAGAUGAAAACGCAACUAAUGGGGGCCGUGUAUGGUGUAUAAAAUAGCAUUAAUUGUUGUCUGUGUUUGUUGUUUAAUGCUAUUUUAUACACCAUACAUGGCCCCAAUUCCAAUUAGGGGAAUUCAAUAUUUUAAUUUUUUGCAAGAUGACUUUCAUCUAUCUCAUUGGCAGGCCGGCCAAGACAGUAAUCAUCCAUUUCAUCUUAUGAAUUAUUGAAGACACGUAGCUGUUCGACGCCUGCACUUUUCAAAUCUGAAGAGCAAUUAGACAAUAUUUCUAUUUCAAAUUGGGGCCACACUCCAAAAACAUUGCAAUAAUUCUCUGUUUUAUACCUAAUAUUGCGCAAUCAGAUAGAAAAAAGGGUCGGCUGCAUGAUUUUUCCAACUUUUGUUUUAUUUUUUCUCUUUUCCACGGGCAUGGGCCCCGACCACCACAAAAUAAUUUGAGAAUGUUAUAUUUAACAAUUCUCUUUUUGUCGUGACAUAAUGGACUAAAACGGAAUCACAACUUUUUCAAAUGACCAAAUGGCUUCGCCCAACGUGAUAAUAAAAGGCCAUAUAGAUGAGAAAUGGAUCCAUACGUUAAAGCUAUAUUGAAACAUAUAAUAAAUAAAUAGUCAGGAGAUGAUUUUUAUCAAAAAUUUCACUCGCACGGUCCCGACCAAAUACAAAUUUGUGAUGAUAUUCAUAAUGAAUUUAUACAAUUAGGCGAAAUUACUCUAUAUAGUUCCAUCGAUAUAUAUUAUAUCAUUAAAAAUAUACUAAUAUUUAUAAUAAAAAAAAUUUAUGACUAUUCUAAAUCGACUGUAUUAUAUGUGAACUCACAAGAUUCAUCGAUAGAUUGCACUGAGCUUUUUGUUGCAGUUUACAAAUAUUUUGUUACUAAUUAUCUUAAGAGCGGCAAGUAACUAAAUACAAAUGUAAGAAAUUUUACAAGUGCUGAUGCUGUGUACUCCGCAGAAAGCUAGCCCACGACGGUGACUCCUGUGGGGACUCCUUCAAUUUGCAGCACAAAUUGACAUUGACUUGAGGGUAAAAAUUAAAAUAUCUCCAAUUAGUAUAAGAAGAAUCCAAACAUGCUUGAAUGAACAUUCUCUCAGAAUACAUAAAACCUACUUUUCUCAGAGCAUUUUAGCAGCAAGAAAAGCAAUUGCAUCAUUUACCAUUUGAUCUAAUAUCAGAAUGGCUCAUGCGCUCGUUUCCUCUCUCUUGGACCAGCUGAAUUCCAUUGCUCAAGAUCAGGUGAAAGAAAAGUGGAGGCUUGUGACGGGUGUCGAACAAGAAGUGGGAAAGCUUACCACCAAUCUUCAAGCCAUUCAAGCUGUGCUGGAAGAUGCAGAGCAGAGGCAAAUGAAGCAGGACAAAGCUGUUACUUUUUGGCUAGAUCAGCUCAGAGACGCAUCCUACGACAUGGAAGAUGUGUUGGAAGAGUGGAUCACUGAAACACGGAAAUUGCAGCUUGAUGAGCGAGGCGAUGAUGAUGAUGAUGAUAACGACAGUGCUUUUGUUACUUUUUUGACGAAGGUAUGUUCCUUCUUUCCUGUUGCCUCAAACUGCUUUGGUGGUUUCAAACAACUCAGCCUUCGUCAUGAUAUUGCUGUCAAGAUUAGAGAAAUCAGUGAAAAGCUAGAUGUUAUUGCCAGACAAAAAGAUAGUUUCAAAUUUGUUGAGAAUGUGAGUAACAAUGUUAGGAAACCAGAGCGAGUGCGAACCACCUCCUUGAUUGAUGAGGGAGAGGUUUUUGGUAGAGUUGAUGAGAAAAGUGAGCUAUUAAGCAAGUUGUUGGGUGAAAGUAGUGAACAACACCCUCAUAUCAUCUCACUGGUUGGGUUCGGGGGUAUAGGUAAAACCACUCUUGCACAACUAGCCUAUAAUAAUGAUGAGGUGAAAAGAAAUUUUGAAAAAGUUAUAUGGGUGUGUGUAUCAGACACUUUUGAGGAGGUUAGGGUGGCCAAAGCAAUCAUUGAAGGUCUAGGCGAGUCAAAAGAAGCUUCUGAUUUAAGCGAAUUCCAAUCUCUUAUGAGCCAUAUCUAUAGAUCAAUUGGAGGAAAAAAAAUUUUUCUUGUCUUAGAUGAUGUAUGGGAUGGGGAUUCCAAUAAAUGGGAUCCAUUCUUCUUUUGUCUAAAGAAUGGUCUCCACGGAAGUAAAAUUUUGGUUACCACACGUAAUGAGUCAAUUGCACGUAUGAUGGGAACAACAGAGUCAGAUACUAUCUCCAUUGAACAACUGGCUGAAGAGGAAUGCUGGUUGUUUUUCAAGCAGUUAGCAUUUUUUGGUCGCUGUUUCGAGGAUUGUGAAAAAUUAGAACCAAUCGGGCGAAAAAUUGCAUGCAAGUGCAAAGGCCUGCCUCUUGCUGCAAAGGUAAUAGGGAAUCUCUUGCGCUCUAAAAUUACAGUAAAAGAGUGGCAAAGAAUUUUAGAUAGUGAAAUGUGGAAAGUAGAAGAGAUUGGGCAAGGUCUUUUGGCUCCUUUGUUGUUGAGUUAUAACGAUUUGCCCUCCAAUUCGAUGGUAAAACGGUGUUUCUCAUAUUGUGCUGUCUUUUCAAAAGACUACAGUAUGAACAAAGAAGAAUUGAUUAGUUUGUGGAUGGCUCAAGGUUACUUUAACGUAGAAGAAGACGAAGAAAUGGAGAUGAUUGGAGAAGAGUAUUUCAACAUCUUGGCAACACGCUCUUUCUUUCAAGAGAUUGAAAAAGAUGAGGAUGAUGAUGAUUUUAUGAGCUGUAAGAUGCAUGACAUAGUACAUGAUUUUGCCCAAUUUGUAUGUAGAAAAGAAUGUUUGUGGCUAGAAAUUGAUGGUAACAAAGAAUCAGUCAUAAAUUCUUUUGAUGACAAAGUCCGUCACCUAGGAUUAAAUUUUGAAGGAGGCGCUCCACUUCCUAUGUCCAUUCAUGGACUUAAUAGAUUGCGGACCCUCCUAAUUGAUGAUGGAAGUUUUCUCUAUCCAUCUCUUCAUAGUAGCAUCCUUCCGGGGUUAUUUAGUAAAUUGGCGUGUUUAAGGGCAUUAGUUAUAAGGCAAUCGUCCUCAUUUUCUGAUCCUAGCCCAUAUUUGAUUACAGAAAUUCCAGAAAAUGUUGGAAAAUUGAUACAUUUAAAAUAUCUUAAUUUGUCUAAAUUAUGUAUAGAGAGACUGCCUGAGACUUUGUGUGAAUUAUAUAAUUUACAAAAGCUAGAUAUUAGGGGUUGCGUAUAUCUUAGAGAAUUGCCUGCGGGGAUUGGGAAGUUAAUGAACAUGAGGAGUUUACUGAAUGGUGAAACUGAUUCGUUGAAGUACCUACCAAUAGGGAUUUCUAGAUUGACCAGCCUUCGAACAUUAGAAAAGUUUGUUGUGGGUGGAGGUGUUGAUGGUGGCGGCACGUGUAGGCUUGAAUCUCUGAAAAAUCUUCAACUCCGUGGUAAAUGUUGUAUAGAAGGGCUGAGUAAUGUGUCGCAUGUAGAUGAGGCUGAGAGGUUACAACUUUACAAUAAGAAAAACCUCCUUCGUUUGUAUCUUGAGUUUGGUGGAGCCGUAGAUGGGGAAGGCGAAGCAGGGAGGAGGAAGAACAAUGAGAAAGAUAAACAACUUCUUGAAGCCUUACAACCGCCUUUGAAUGUAGAGGAGUUAAGGAUUAUAUUCUACGGAGGCAACAUUUUUCCCAAAUGGUUGACUUCACUAACCAACCUAAGGGAUUUAAUACUUUUCUUCUGCGUUAACUGUGAGCAUUUGCCUCCUUUAGGAAAAUUGCCUCUGGAAGAACUCGGACUAUUGAACUUGAAAAGUGUAAAAAGAGUGGGAAAUGAGUUUUUGGGAAUAGAAGAAAGCACUGAGGAUGAUCCAUCUUCAUCUUCAUCGUCAUCAUCAGUUAUUGCCUUCCCCAAAUUGAAAUAUCUCGAAAUUUGGGGAAUGGAAGAAUUGGAAAAGUGGAAUUACAGGAUUACAAGAAAGGGAAACAUCUCCAUCAUGCCACGUCUUU
rnacentral:lncRNA from 1 species